ACUGCUUCUCGCUCCCGCUCUGAACUUAACGCUGCAAAAAAAAUCUUGGAGUGUAUAACUGUGUAAGCUUUGCUCAAUGGCGGAGGAGAACAAGUCCGGCUCCGGCGACCUGAUGGCGAGCGGCAAGGUGGUCGCGGAGGCGACCAUGUCGGUGUUCCAGCAGAAGAGCGUGGAGGGCGUCGACAAGAAGGAGGUCGCCGGCGCCGCCGCGGACCUGCUGCACUCGGCGUCCACCUACGGCAAGCUCGACGACAAGCCGGUCGGGCAGUACAUCGACAAGGCGGAGGGGUACCUCAAGGACUUCAGCUCCGGCAGUGGCGGCGCCGCACCGCCACCGCCGGCAGCCGGAGACGCCGCAGCGCCGAAGCCAGCGGCGGAGGAGCCGCCCAAGGAGCCUGCGCCGGCUGAGAAGGAGGAAGGCAAGCCACCGUCGUCGUCGGAAGGGUUCGGUCUCGACGACGUCAUGAAGGGGGCCGAGUCGCUGAUGGAGAAGAAGGGCGGCGGGGAGGAGAGCGCCGGCAGCGGCGGCGCCGCCGGUGGGCUGUUCAAGAUGGCGCAGGGUUUCAUGAAGUAGGAGAGCUCUUUGGCUGGAUAUAUAGCUGCAUGCAUGCUUGUCUCUGGAUUGUGGCUCUGCUUUAAUUUGCUUGUUAAUUAACUGAUGAUCUGUAUGAUGUUUUGUAAAUGUCUCUCAGCUCUGUUGUUAAUUUUGUGUGGUGAAUAAUAAGAAGACAGCUACUUUGUGUGUAUAAAGCCUGUUUUUCUCCGUGAAUAAACUAAUUCUAAUCUACUAAUUAAUUCAUUCACUACUUAAUAUUCUUAUGAUAGUUCAAGACUUAUGGGGAGACGAGAUGGAUAAAUUAUGUGGCUAUGUUUUUGUUUGGGCUGUUGCCAAUGUCAAACUUGUCAAACAUAUCGGUAUACUAGAGAUUUAGUAGUACCUCAAAAUAGAGAAAAAAAAUUGUUAUGGUACAUCCAAAAUUUACAAUCUUUAAUAAUGGACUAGAAUUGAAACCUCCAAUAAAAUACUAAUUUUUUUCUCCCAAAAAGUCGAUAGCUUCGAGCUUCAAUCCCUCUACUAUUUAUACCCACAACGUGGCUGCCCCUAGCCACGAAUCCAACUAGAACUAGGACUCCUAAUCACAUAGGAAACCUACCAAACCAGGGAAACAACAUCCCCAUACAAUUCCACGUUCCAAUCUUUUCAAACUUGGACUCCAAUCCAAAUUUGACUACUCUUUCCAUACGCACACAACACAACAUGUAUGUCAUAUGGAAACCUUCACCUCCACGUGCAUUGUUCUCUAAUCCGAGCAUCAUGUGUGACAUCCUAGCCUAGGGUUUAAUAUGAUUAAUAGAAUACCCAUAACAAUAAGUUACGACUUCUUUUUCAGAAGCCAAUCACCAAAGAACUUUGAGGUUAAGCGUGCUUGGCGCAAUUUUGGGAUGUGUGACCGCUUAAUAGGAUUAAUAGAAUACCCAUACUAACAAGUUGAAAAUUUUUCCCGGGUGCGCACGAGUAAAGACAAAGUGGGUGACCGCUUAAUAGGAUUAAUAGAACACUCAUACCAACAGGCUGAAAAUUCUUCCCGGGUGCGCAUGAGUGAGGACAAAGUAUGUGAGGGCAGUCUAUAUCCUAGAAAAACUAUCAGAUGUAAGUGGGCCUGGCCUGGGAGAGGUUCUACGAAAACAACGCGAAACUUUUUCCCUGGUGCGCACGAGUGAGGACAAAGUGUGUGAGGGCAGUCUAUAUCCUGGAAAAGCUAUCAGAUGUAAGUGGGCCCGGCCUGGGAGACAUUCUACGAAAACAACGCGAAACUGAUGUGAGAAAUUCUACGAAAACAACACGAAACUGACUCACAUCAGGAGUUUGCCGGUCUGACCAUUGGGCUACCCGGUCAAGCACUAACACCACCGGUUUGACUGGCCACUAGAGCCGACAACCGAAAACACAUCACACUGCAUUUUCACCAAACAAUUGUUCAUCACCAGGAUUAAUCAUCACAUGAUUUUAUAUUGGCCUCUCCAUCACUCAUAUAGAUUCAUUAGCAUCUAUAUGAAUUUGGAGAUAUAUACAAAGGACAUAAUGGAUCCAUGCAAGAAAUUAUUCCAAAUCCAAAACAUGUUUGUUGUCGAAACGACGACCGCAUACGUCGAAAGACGUGGUUACUCAACAGUGGUUGGAAAAACGAAGUGUAUUAAAUUUUGAAUUUCCCUUGGGAUCUUCCCCCGUUACAUGGCCCUAGGGGGCUAUUUAUAUCCCCAUUACAGGUUCUUACUACUAGGGUUUAGGUUAUACAGGGGAAUUUACAUGAUUACCCUUAUGAAAGGGACAUUUACAGGGGUACAUGAUGAUAUAGGGGCUCAUGGGCCCUUGAUGGGCCGUCUGGCGAUCGCCGGCCCUAUUGCCCCUAGGCUUGAUGGGCCGGAAAGGCUUCUUUGGCCCUCGCGGGGGCAAACUUGCCAAGGCGAAGUCAUCUUCCUUCGGCAGAUAGUCUUCGCCUUGCACCCUUGGCCUGAGACACCUCUGGCCUGGCAAGGCACUUCGCACGACUCUUCGCCUCACGCCGUUCUUGCUCCAUAGCCUUCGCCAUGGGUUUCGGCAGAUUUGGUCGAAGGGCCUCAUGCCAUCCGCCAACAAGCCCCUCACGGGCAAGGGUGAGAUUGGAGCUUCGGCCGAGACCGUGCAAACCAUGUGGUAUGGUAUGCGGCGCCCCCUUUCGACCGAUUCUCCUGCCGAAACCUACACUAUUCCUGCGAAUGAAGUUUGUUAUUUGUGCGGCUGGUAUUAUUUUGCCGCUCUUCGCCUCCUGCGUUUGGUUGCAUAUUCAUAUAUAUAUAUAUAUAUAUAUAUAUAGGACACUCAUAUGGGGCACCAUGGUGCCCGGGCACCAUGGUGCCCGGGCACCAUGGUUUCAAAUGCACAAAAUCACUCAAAUUUUUCAAAAUUUUCAAAUUGUGAGUAUAUACCUAGUUAUAAGAAUUCGAUUCAUACCUAUACCUAUCAACAAAACAACUCAAAUUUAACUUUAUUUCACAAUCCAUGAUUACAUACCUAACUAAUUAUAUGUAUGGAUGCUAUAUACCUAGAAUCAAAAUCUAACAAAAACAAGUUCAAAUUCAGUUCAAACUUGCUUUCAACUAGUUAGUAAUGUAGUUAAUAUUAAUACCUAAAUAAUUGAAAAAGUUUCAUGCUCAUUUGAAUUGGGUAUAUACUCAAUUUCAACAAUGGUGCCCGGGCACCAUGGAGCACCAAACAAAUUUACUAUAUAUAUAUAUGUAUAUAUAUAUAUAUAUAUAUAUUAUAUAUAUUUUUUUAUAUAUAUAUUUUCUUUUCCUGGGCCGAAAGGAACAGUAUUGGGCUUUCCCUUCGUGGGCUUUUACUGCGCCGCUUGGACGGUGGGAAGUUACCGUUUCGCCUACCCUUGCGACACGUGGCGCUUUAUUACUGGUGGGUAGGCGAACGGUCGCCCGAGUGAGCUAUAUAUUCCCACCGACCUUUCCUUUUCACCGCCACACUUGCCAUUUUACCGCGUGCGCUCUCUUCCUCCGUUUCUUUCUUCCACAGCAUCUCUCGACCCCUCAAGUGUUUCGCCCAUUCUCUUUCUUCGCCACCGCAAACGCACCGUUCACCAUGGCCCCUCGCAAGCCAAACCGUGCUUCGGCUAAAGGGCCGGAUCCCGGCCGAGUCGAUGACGACAGCACCGCCUUUCUGGGGGUCUCUCUUGUGGACGACGUCGAGCUGGCGAAGCUGGUCCGCUCUGGGGCGUUGGUUGAGGGGCAGGCUUUCGCCCCAGGGAAAGCCGUGGUGCCGAAACCUAUCGACAAUCGGACGGUGGUAUUCGCCGUCUUUUUUGAGGCUGGGCUACGGUUCCCCUGCAACGUGUUGUUGCCGGAGAUCCUUCGCCUCUUCCAGGUGGAACUUCCACAGCUGAGCCCAUCGGCGCUUGUUUGGGUCGCUAUCUUCGACUGGGCGCGCCGGACUUCCGGGUUUGAGCCUAACGCCGAGCUCUUCGGCGCCAUAUUUUUCGCCACCGUGAACUCGAAAACGGUGAUUACCCCGGCUCGAACGAAGAAGACAGUGUUCGGGAGUGUGAAUUCAACGUUCGUCCCGAGCGGUUCGAUCUUUGGCCAGUGAACGCUGUCAUGUCGAAGUGGGACCGCCAUUGGAUAGCCAGGUGCUUCUAUCAUUCCAUCCCCUUCGAGGCUAGUUCUGACGCGGCGAAAGCCCUCCGGUGCCGGCGUAGGGCGAUCGCACCGAACUGGAAACCCAAGAUCGCCGUGGACGGCACUAUGGAGGCUCGGUUCGUUCUGCUGCGCAAGGUUUGCUCCCGCCUUAGCUGCCGUGACUUGGUGGAGGAAUUCUGUAUGCUUCGCAUCUUUCCCCUCUCCCAGUCAUGGCAAGUCACGGUUGAUCAAGGCGAAGAGGUCGACGGUUUGCCGAACCUGAUACUUCCUGAGGGGGCGAACAGUAAGACUGUUCUUUUGCUAUAUACUACUGUGCUUUGUUAUUUCGCCUUAUCUGACUUUUGACAUAGCCUCACACUCUAAUUUUGCAGUGUUGAUCCUUGACCAGGUUGAAACCGAAGCCCGCAGGAUGAUCGGCGAUGUGUCAAUCGUUGAGUAUAGCCAGCUGCUAACACGACAAGCGGCUGGGCGGGCGAACCGGGUUUACAACGGCGAAUUGCCUCCUCGAGCAAACCCCCACAAAGCCGACGAUGAUGCAGGGCCUUCACGGAAGCGAAUGCGCGGACAAGUGAAGCUUGCCCCCAGGAAACGAAGGGCUCCUGCUUCGUCGGACUCCGAUGCCGACGACGAGGACGAUGCCGAAGAACGCGACGGCGAGGGGGAAGCAGAGGAGGAGGAGGAGGCCGUGGCCGAUAAGGCCGCGAACGAGGCGGUCGGAGACCGCGUCGACACCCUCGGCUACACUCCUACCCCAAGUCCAGGUCCCAACGAGACCGGGGUGGAGUCGAACAGCUCCCCCCUUCGACGGAAGGAUUUGGAAGGGGCGAAGGCCCUAGUUGCGUUCUCCUCAGGCAAGGCAGCGAAGGGAGGUCCGGUGCAGAAGAUCUCUAAAAAGGAAAGACUCGUCGACAUCGCCCGCGUUUUCAGCGACGACGAAUCUUCUGACGGGACUCCAACUUCGCCCGCUGGCCGCAGUUUAGACCUUUCGACUGCUCCCCUCGCUCCGCUCAGCGUUGCUGGGGCAGGCGGUAAUGCCGCCGCCGGGGCUUCAGCCUCCGCCGAACGGAUCGUGUCGGCUGCGGCGAGGGUCUUCGGGAGCCCUCUGCGUGAGCCAGCUAUUUCGCCGCUAGUCAAGGCGAAGGGGAAGUGUGCGGCCGCCGAAGCAUCUGUCUCUGAGUAUUCCCUUGCGGCGCCCCACUUCGCCCCUGGUGAUUUCGAGACUCGGGCGAACCUUGUUCCCUUUGUGGAGGGAGUGAGCAACCUUGUCUUGCCCGUCGGCACCCCGAGCUUGUUCACCGAACUUAAUGAGUUCGACGAGGGGUGUUCCGCCAUUAAAAGCCUAGCGGUUCGGGUACGCCUUUUCUUCCUUCUUCGUUUUCCUCUUCGUCCCCCCUUUUUUUUACGUCUGACAAUUAACCUUUUGUUCUUUUGGCCCGCUCCUAUCUUUCAUCUAGAUUCUUGCGGCUCACUGUUUGACGGAGCGAACCGUACGGGCCCGUUUUGACGGUUUUAAGAGCCGUCUUUGGGCCAAGGACGACGAAAUAAGCCGCAAGAACCUGGAGGUGGAGGCCCUGACCAACACCCUCAAGGAAACGAAGACCGAGGUCAAACGCCUUCAGUCUGAGCUGGAUAAGGGGAAAGAGGCCAGGGCUGAGGUUGAUCGCCUCAAGGCCGAACUGGAGAAGGAGAAGGCCCAUUCGACAGUGUUGAUUGACUACUACAACCUUACUGAGCCGAAGAUGGAGGCUCUUCGCCUGAAGGCUAGUACGGCCGAAGCGAGCGCCGCGGAGGAGUCGCAGCGGUUUUCACAGGAGAUGGCGAAGACCACCGAAUCCGCGAGAACUGCUUGUCAAACGCUCCGCCUCGCCCUUACCGACAUGGGCGCGAAAGUGCGAGGGGUUCCUGCCGAGGAUGCAUCAGCCUUCGACUUCUCCGAGUGGACCCAGCAGGCUGGCGGAUCGGUUUCGGACUGCGCCAUCGCGUACGGCGAUUGCUGUGCGCGUGUAUCAGCGGCCUUCACCUUAGGCCUUUUGCAACAUUUUGGCUACGAGCACGUCGCCGAGUUCCCUACCUAUGCGAAGGGGGACUGGGAGAUUAGUGCGCAGAACAUUUCGCCCGCUCUUCACGCGUGGCGAAAACAGUUUUGGCAGAAGGACGGCCGGUCCGCUGCCAAGGCGCGCCUUCUGGAGCAACUAGCGAAGGCGGAGGCGGCAGACCGGCGCGAAGGAGAGGACGCAGCGGGCGAAGAGGGUGGAGGCAAUGCCCAGGAUCACCCAGAGGUGUGAGGCCCUCCGCCCUUUCCUUAGAUUUUUGUAGUUUUCCUCCAUCUUUUGCAUUUGCCUGGAGAGGCGAAUGAUGUACAUUCGGCAGGCUGCCGCCAAACCUUAAAAGAGGCUUUUCUGUAUAUUUGGAAUAUAUGACACCAUCCUAAUUACUUUUUGAUGAUCGAAGUCUUUGGCGUAUUAUUAUCUUGCCCAUUUCGCUUUAUGCCACACCUUCCCUUUCCUUCGCCUAUUCUUACUAUGUAAACUGUGUUUUGCCUUUUCUGCACUGUCUAACAGGGGGUUCGCCGAAAGUCGUGCAUUCAGCCCCCUUCCGGGAGCUGGCAAAGUCGAAACGAGAAAUUUGUGGCAUUGAAGGGUCUGCCGAAGGUGCGAUGUCCAUUUCGGCCUGUUUAUCGCGAAAUGGAGAUAAACGGUCGCAGCUACAAGGUUUUCAAGGUUGCCAACUGGCUGCGGGCGCACCCCGGGCGAACCUUAGAAGAUUACGAUCUUGUUCAUUCAAGACGUUUGGAGGAUAUGGCUCGCUUUUGGCGAAACCAUCAGAAGACUAAACGUCAGGAAAUGAUCUUUCAGCGUCGUUAUAGUUUAGUCUGUGUUUCGCCGCCUACUACUCUUAAGGUUGUGUAUGAUAUUAGUAGUGAAGACGAACCUAGUUCGCCUGUCCAUUCCUUAGGGAGGGAUAGUGAUUAUGGGGGCGAAGAUGUAAUUUACUUGUAAGGUGAAUUGUAUCGUGUUGUAAACCUUCUAUUCUUCGAUUAUUUUUUCGAAGUUAAUAAAGAUGUGUUUUAUUUCCUUUUCGCUAUUCUUUCGCAUCGUCACAUUCCGUGCUUUUGUUAGGUCGGAACAUGUCGGCCCCUUUGCGUAUAUUAGCGAAAUAGGUGUACUGAUUUUUCAGCUUUUCGUCGUUCAUUUUCGAUCUAUAGCAUUCUGUGUUGAAAGAAACGCUUUUGCUUUUAUGUCGAUCGAACGUAACGCCGUUCGGCUAGUUAGGACACAGAGGUUUUAUACUGGUUUGGGCCUCCAUGGUGGAUAAUAGCCCUACAUCCAGUUUUUUUUUUCUUUUUGCACUCUUUCUUCUUUUUUUUUCUUGCCGAAAGGCUUUCAUAGUGCCAAAGGGCUUACAUAGUGCCGAAGGGCUUACAUGACAGUAUGUACAUUUUUACAAGUUGGCGAUUUGGGUGCCACCCAUUCUAGACAUAGAAGCGCUUGAGAGAGGUGGCGUUCCAGGAAUGGUCGAACUCCUCGCCUUUGAGUGUCGUUAGGCAAAAAGAUCCCGUCCUAGACUUGUGUUUGAUGAGGUAUGGUCCUUCCCACUUUGAUUCAAGCAUGCCAACCGCUACUGGGUUCGCCUUCUUCCUUAGGACGAGAUGACCAGGCAUCAGCUCCAUGGGUCGAACUUUUUUGUUGUAAGUUGCCGAAGUGCUUGUGGCAUACUUGUGCAUGUGCUCCAGCGCUUCGACUCUUACUCCUUCCAAGAGUUUGAGCGAUACUUCGCGUCCCUCUUCGCCCCCAGAGAACAUCACCCUUGGUGAGUUAGCCCCUAGCUCUGCUGGGGUCAUUGCCUCAUCGCCAUAAAGAAGCAUAAACGGGCUAAACUUGGUUGGUCUUGUGGGGGUCGUUCGAAGGGCCCAGAGAACCGAUAGCAAUUCCUCUGGCCAUUUGCCUUUCGCUGCCCCCUCGAGUCUUUUCUUUAGUGCUUCUAGGAUCUUGCCAUUUGUACGUUCGGCCGCCCCAUUUGACUGCGGGUGUGCGACCGACGCGAACCUGAUUUCCAGGUUAAGCCCUUCGCACAUUUCUCUGGACUUAUCAGAGUCAAACUGCUUGCCGUUGUCAGUAAUGAAUUCUUUUGGCACUCUGAAACGACAAACAAUGUUCUUCCAUACAAACUUCUGUACUAUUGCCGAAGUUAUUGCCCCAAGGGGUUCGGCCUCAAUCCAUCGAGAGAAAUAUUCCAUAGCUACAAUUGCGAAUUUAUACCCGUUUCGCGCCACCGGGAACGGCUCAAUGAUAUCCAGUCCCCAUCUGGCGAAGGGCCAUAUUGGCGCAAUGGGCUGCAGAUCAUAUUGGGGCGCGGCUUGGCUUCGGCCAUGAUGCUGGCAACUUUCGCACUUCUUGAUUUGCUUAACACAGACUUUCAACACAGUGGGCCAAUAAACUCCUUGUCUAAAUACUUUGGAGGCCACUGUUCUUGUAGCCUGGUGCGCGCCACAUAGCCCCUGGUGUAUCUCAUUUGCCAUUUCUUCGCCUUCGGCAAAAGAGAUGCAACGAAAUAAGGGUUGAAGUACCCCAGAGCAGUAAAGCUGACCCGAGACCAUCUUAUACUUCAUGGCUCUGAGUUGCAAACGCUUCGCUUCUGCUUCGUCUACCGGAAGCCAGCUAGUUUCAAGGUGUUUCGCAAAUGGAGUUCGCCAGUCACACGGGUCUUCGCCCAGUUUCUCCUGGUCGAUUGCCAUGACUUCCGAGCUGUCCAUGGGCACACUUGGAGCAUGUAGGACUUCGAAAAAGAUGCCAGGCGAAUGUGGGCCACCACAAGCAGCAGAUUUCGUCAAGGCGUCUGCUUCCUCGUUCUGGUCUCUAGGCAAGUGUUCGACCGUUAUGCCGGUGAAACAUUUUUCCAUGGACCGAACAGCCUCUAGAUACCUCUUCAUCCCCUUUUCUUUUGCCUCGAAGGAUUUGUCAACAUGGCCUGCUACCAACUUGGAGUCAGUUCGAAUUAGCAAGCGCCGGACUCCCAGUGCUUUCGCCUUUCUUAGGCCCAAGAGAACGGCUUCGUAUUCUGCUGCAUUGUUGGUUGUGUCGAACUGCAGUCUUGCUGCGUACCGAAUCGGCACACCAUUCGGCGAGAAUAGGACUGCCGCAAUGCCUGGUCCCUUGUGCGACCACGAGCCGUCAGAGCACAUAACCCAGAAUUGUUCGGCGGGCUCGGGGUCGGGGGCAAGUACCGGUGUCCAUUCAGCUACGAAGUCGGCUAGCACUUGAGACUUGAUAGCAGAGCGUGCAACAAAAUGUAAGUCGAACGGGGAUAGUUCUGCCGCCCACUUGCUGAGCCGGCCAGUGACUUCCUUGCCUCGGAGUAUUUCGCCCAAGGGGUACUGUGAUGGCACUAUGACUUUGUGGGCCUGGAAGUAGUGCUUAAGCUUGCGCGAAGCCAUCACUAGGGCGUAAGCGAGCUUUUCCAUUUCAAUGUACCUUGUCUUCGCUCCUUGCAGUGCUUCGGAGACGAAGUAGACCGGUUUUUGUCCAAACUUUGUUUCUUGGACGAGGGCAGCACUGACUGCCACCGGCGAAGCUGCUAAGUAUAAUAGCAGUUCGCUUCCUGGGGGUGGGCUUAUCAGAGCUGGCGGGCUUUGCAAGUAUUGCUUUAGCUCGUCGAAUGCUGCUUGGCACUCUGGUGUCCAAUUAAACUUUCCUGCGCCCCGGAGGGUCUUGAAGAAGGGCAAACCUCUUUCGGCUGCCUUUGAGAGGAAUCGUCUGAGUGCCGCAAUUCGGCCUGCAAGCUUUUGUACUUCAUGUACGCUUCUCCGCCGAGAACUUGAACUGCUUCUCCGCCGAAACCGCGGAGCGAUGCUGGUGCUGGGGUAAGGGCUUGGGUAGGCAACCCCAUUUUGGCAUAUGCUUCGGCAAAGAUAACAUCGGCCGAACUCCCUCCGUCGACCAGGAUUCGUCGGACUUUGAAACCAGCUAUCUCAGCUGAGAUUACCAAGGGAUCUUGAUGCGGGAACAUAACUCCUUCUGCGUCUUCCGGCCCAAAAGAAAUUAGCUGGUUCAGAUAUUGCGGCGCCCCUUCACCCGCCGAAGUGAUGCUAUGGACCAUACGGAUCUGCAUCUUCUUCUGCCAUUUCGACAACUGGCUUGGCGGGUCAGCCCUUGUAAUCACUUAGAUUACCCUUCGCUGUACAUCUUGGCGUUGUUCGGCUGGGGGUGUUUGCUCUUGAACUGCUUCGCGGGGUGCUUCGACAGUUGUUCCCUGCUGAGGCCUUGAGUCUUGCGCGUUGCCACAUUGCCUAAUGUUUCGGCAUUGUUCCGUGGUGUGCGAAGAGCGUCCGUGAAAGGCGCAGUAGAGGUCUUUUCGGACCUUCUUGCGGGCUGGCUGCUGAUGGUUGCUCACUUGCUGGGCAUCGAACUCCUUGCGGAGGGCUUGCACUUCUUCGACCGCCAUCACAGCUUUGCCCGCACGGUCUGUUCUGAACUUUCUCCAAGUUAUGGGGGCUUGGCCUUGUCUCGGCGGCUGUCCUUGGAUCGCCGGCUGAGACUGGCGAACGAAGAGGGGAGGUUGUUCGGCAACUUGAACUUGUGCUUGAGCUUGAGCAGCGGCGACGGAGGCUUUGUCGUACUCAGCUUGUAUAGCUUGCCGUCGCUUGGAAUCCUCCUCGCCCCUUGCGAACCCGUCAAUGAUGCGAAGUAGGUGCUCGAGCGUCUGAGGCUCCUUGUUGGCGAUUUUUCAUGUGAGUUCGCCCUCGAGCAGACCGGCCGAAGCGGCGUUUAUAACCGACGCCUCGGUUAUGUCUUGAACUUGGCACCGGGCUUGUGAGAAGCGACGCAUGUACUCCCUUAUCGACUCCCCCUGCCUUUGGCUAAUGCCGAGUAGGUGUUGUUGCGUCUUCGGCUCCUCAUAGGUGCCUCGAAAGUUAAGGACAAAAACAUCGCGCAAUUGCUCCCAUGAGUAAAUGCUAUUGGCUGGUAAAUUGAAAUACCAAGAACGGGCGAUGCCGUCUAGAGCGAGAUGUAUUACCUUCGCUUUGGUAUUUUCAUCACCAUGAGCCACUUCGAUCGCUGACUCGUAGAUGGAGAGGAACUCCUUCGGGUCAGUUUCGCCUGAAUAGCACGGGACGGGUGGGAACUUGAACUGGGCUGGGAUUGGACGAGUCUUGAUUCCCCCACUCAGCGGUAGCCCCUUUUCGCCUCCCGCCCUGUUUACCGCACCCUGCUGCGGGUACGGUGUGGCGAAGGGCGAAAUCGCAGCUUGUACGCGAGGUUGGGCCAUGGCAUUCGGCUGCCCGGCUCCAACUGGAGGUACUUGCUGAGCCGCCAUGGAUGGGUCAAAAAUUGGCUGUGACCACGUCAUGGCAGCUUGGAUUGGUGCUUGGUUUGUUCCGAAGCCUGGAGUUGGAGCUUGCUGCCGAACGGUUGGUGCCUGGACAGCGUUGACGAAGUCGAACUGCGGUCCUUGAUUCCACAGCGAAACUCCCAGGCCCGGCUGAAUCGGUGGCAACCAAUUAGGCGCACCUUGACUUGUAUUCCCCUCCGGGUGGGCCGAUGGGGUUGUACUUGAAAUACAGUGGGGUUGGUUGAGUUGCUGAAGAAAAGCUUGGAGUUGCGCCUGCAGAGCCGAAGCCCCUUCCGCCACUAUUUUUGGCGCUUGGCCGGGUGGUUGAUGGUGUACUUGGGCAGCGACUGCGGCCGAUUGCUGCCCGGCGAAGUACAUUGGCGCUUGUGCGACUUGAGGCGGAUAGGGCUAGGUCGUCACUUGCGGAUGGACUUGAGGCGGGACAUAACCUGCCGAAUACUGAAGGAUUGGAGCCGACGUGACCUUGGUCCGCCUUGCCGCCUCGUAUGCUUGUUGUUGUUCUUGCAUUUGGCGAAGCAUGUCUUGGAGCCGUGUCAUGUUCUGUCGCAUGGCUUCCAUGUCGGCUUCGGCUUGUGUCUCAGGGUCAGGGCUGACAUGGGCCUGCAUAGCGGCGAGCGCAGUCGGGGCUGCCGCCGGCUGCGAUGGAGUGGCUUGGGGCACCACUAGUUGGCUUGUCGAAAGGAUCUCCGCCCUGGUCUGGAGUGCCCUUGCCACAGCAGCCGCCUUCGCCACGUCGGCCGCGUUCGGCACUUGCACAGAGGCGGCAGGGGCCGAAGGCGUUUGAGAUGGCGCAGAUGUGGAAGCAGAUGGUCCUCCUCCAUCUUCGGCCACUGGCGCCGAAUGCUCUGCUCCCUCCUCGGCGGCCAUGUCCGGUGCGGCGUUGCUUUCCUUCCGCCUUGCAACCUUCUCCUUCACGACCUUCUUCGGUGGCAUUCACUCUCAGUGGUUUCGCUCGGAGGUCCCCACGGUCGGCGCCAGCUGUUGUCGAAACGACAACCGCAUACGUCGAAAGACGUGGUUACUCAACAGUGGUUAGAAAAACGAAGUGUAUUAAAUUUUGAAUUUCCCUUGGGAUCUUCCCCCGUUACAUGGUCCUAGGGGGCUAUUUAUAUCCCCAUUACAGGUUCUUACUACUAGGGUUUAGGUUAUACAGGGGAAUUUACAUGAUUACCCUUAUGAAAGGGACAUUUACAGGGGUACAUGAUGAUAUAGGGGCUCAUGGGCCCCUGAUGGGCCGUCUGGCGAUCGCCGGCCCUAUUGCCCCUAGGCUUGAUGGGCCGGAAAGGCUUCUUUGGCCCUCGUGGGGGCGAACUUGCCAAGGCGAAGUCGUCUUCCUUCGGCAGAUAGUCUUCGCCUUGCACCCUUUGCCUGAGACGCCUCUGGCCUGGCAAGGCACUUCGCACGACUCUUCGCCUCACGCCGUUCUUGCUCCAUAGCCUUCGCCAUGGGUUUCGGCAGAUUUGGUCGAAGGGCCUCAUGCCAUCCGCCAACAAUGUUAUAAUAUGAAACAGAGAAGUACAACACACCGCACCAUUAUUUUAUUAUCUCUUGCCAAUUUUGUAAGAAAAAUAUUUUGAAAAGACAAAAUGACCCUGCUCAUAAGGUAUUUUGUACAAGCAGACCCACAUGUUGGUCACAUAGAGAGCAAGUCGAUGGGCCCCGCCUAUCAGGAGCUAGCGGCUAGAGUGCAUGAUGUUGUGGGCAUGACCUAGGCAAACUGGUGGCGAGGCAAGGACAUAGGAUAGCACGCGGAUGGUGGUUGUGGGACGAGAAGUUGGAUCCUGACGAAUCGCCUUGUGAACUAGUUUCUCAAAAUCAGUAUAGUCUGCAGAGAUCAGCUGAUCGGUCAGUUCAUCAUCAAAACUAGACAUGAACUUCUCCUACCUCUCAGCAUUGGUGUGCAGGUCGUUAGGGACGUAGUGCGCAAGGCGGUUGAACUCAUGCAGAUACUAUGUAUCUGUCAUGUCUCCUUGAUGCAGUGCACGAAACUUCCUCUUCUUUUGUGCACGGGACUUCCUCUUCUUUUGCACCACUAUUCCAUCGAGAACUUGCGCCUUCCUGAAACUGCACCGGAACUCUGCUCAAGUGACUUCUCUUCCUGCUGGGCGGGUAAACAUGUAGUUGUCCCACCAAGCAAAAGCGAGGCCCUAGAGCUGGUGGGUAGCGAAGGCAAUCUUCUCCUGGUCAUUACACUGCGGAAGAUUCAACUUCUUCUCAAUGGGAUGAGGCUAGUCAUUGGCUUAUAAUGUAGGGACAUUCAACUUUCGGAAUUGCUUAAAACCGUCGCAUGUUUUUUUGGGGAAAAAACUUUCAAAUGUAACUAUAGUAUAGUCGUAGUGUAACUACAAACUCUAUAUAAGUUAGAUAUAAAGUUGCAUAUAUUAUUUUAAUACUUAUAUACAAGUUAUAUAAUAGUUAUAGUGGAAUUAUAUUACAAUUAUACUAUAGUUAGAUUUGAAAGUUUUACCAAAAAAACUUGCGACAGUUUUUCUAGGUAGUUUGACUUAUUGCCACAUUUAAGAUGUUGCAAGUAAGGCUUUGCCACUCAAUCUAUGACAUAUGGGCCCUUAUGCAUUUAUGGUAGGGGCAAUUUCGUUUUUAUCCUACUUUGAUGUCUAAUAUUGAUUUUACCCCUAUUUUUUAGAGUUUUCAUUUUUACCCUCACUUUUUUUAACUGAAUGCUUGUUUUUCCCCUACUUUGGAUGGUGAAGUUAAUAGUGUUAAGUAAUUGAUAAAAUGAUAUUUAUACCCUCUCAUGUAUAUACAUUAAUUAUGUUUUUGUCCCCAUUUUAUACACGUAGCUUUGGAACUUUAUUUUUGGAAGUAUAUUUAAAAUUAGAUGACGCACAUUGACUAAUAUAACAAUUUGGACAGAUUCUGAAUUUGAUGGAAUUUUGACAAAAUUUCAGUAUUUUGAUAGAACUUAAACAAAAUUUUGACAACAUUUUGUAAAAUGUAAUUAUAUGUUCCCUUUAGAUAUUAGUCAAUGUGUUUCAUUUAAUUUUAAAUAUACUCACAAAAAUAAAGUUCUAAAGCUACAUGCAUAAAAUGGGGACAAAAACACAAUUAAUGAAUAUACAUGAAAGGGUAUAAAUGUCAUUUUGUCAAUUACUUAACACCGUUAAUUUCACCAUCCAAAGUAGGAGCAAAACAGGCAUUCAGUUCAAAAAAAAAGGUGAGGGUAAAAACGAAAACACUAAAAUGUAGGUAUAAAAUCAAUAUUAGACAUUAAAAUAGGGGCAGAAACAAAAUUGCCCCUUUAUGGUAUAUAUUAGUUUAGUGGUAAAUUCUUAAUUACUACUCCCUCCGUUUCGAGUUAUAAGACUUUCUAACAUUGUCCAUAUUUAUAUAGAUGUUAAUGAAUCUAGGCUUAUAUAGAUGUUAAUGAAUCUAGGCACACAUAUAUAUCUAGUUUCAUUAGCAUAUAGUAUAUGAAUAUGGGCAAUGCUGAAAAUUCUUAUAUAAUAUAAAACGGAGGAAGUAUUUAUAAAAAUAGCAAAUAGUUAAAUAUCUCUGCAAUAUGGGGCAUGCGACAAUUUACUAACUAUAUUUGGUGGUAAACUAUGGAAAUCAUCCAAACAGCCCAAAAAUCUCCCGUCUCGGCGUCUCGGCUCCUCCGCUCCUUGCGCCAUCUCGCGGCUGAACAGGCGAGGGGAGGGCGCGCCGAUCUCCAUCCGGCGAGCAGGGGAGGGGAGGGUCGCUGAUCUCCAUCUGGCGAGUAGAGCAGGCGAGGGGAGGGGAGGGGAUCCGGUGAGCAUCCACAUCCUCUUUCUGGUUCAUCUCUCUCUCCCACCGGGACUACUUUUGCCUGGAAUUUGCUUGCGUUUCGUUAACCCUAGCUUCUCUUCUAGAUCUGGAAGAAGCCCUUCUCUUAAUUUCAGAGACUUGAACCUUAAUACAAGUGACAGUUUGUUCAUUCCCCCAAAAGUUUGGGGGUUCAACUGAGCCCCCAUGUCCCAAGUUGGAUCCGCCCCUGCCUUCAAGUAGGUCAGGAUGGCGCUUAAAUUCACUUCUGGCCUUUGUGUGUCAAUAGAUAUGCCAUGCCAUACUAGUAUUAUUGAAGAAUAAAGUCAAAAAUAAUUAUCUAUAACUUGCUUGAUGUUUUUUUGUUUCUGAUCUCCUAACUAAAAUUUCAUGGGCUUUCAUCUAUUCUGACAUGGACCAUACAUGAACAAGUUCUUUCGUUACCUAUCUGUAUAUGACAUCUUAAGUGUAAGAAGAUCCAAAUACUGGUAUAGGACUGGAUGAAGAUGUAGUGUUUUGAAAAAGUCAGCUGCCGAUUGCUGAAGGGUGCUUGUUUCCUGAAUUAUUCAUUUGAUUAAUUGAUUUUGCCUUUUCUACAAUUGCUUGGAUUCAACCAUGCUAUGUUGAUCCACUUUUGUACUUGUGUUCUCCAUACAAUCUGUUCUUUAAUCAUAUUUCUGUUGCGUUCAUCAUUGUAUCCAACCUUUGUUGUUUCUUUAUAAGGGAUAAGGCAUGUAUUAAUUUUACAAAGUCUUCAAGAUUUACAUUCCUACUAGCUAUAAAAUACAUUCCUACUAGCUAUAAAACCAAUUUUCUGUGAAACCUCUUUAAAAUAUGAAUCUAUUGUUAUAUCUUUAAUGUACUACUUGUAAUUUGGCUAAUUUCUGGCCAAAAUCAAAAGAUGUUUGACUUUUGAAAUAAAAUAUACCUUAUAAAGAAAAUCAAUGGAUGAAUGGAACAUUGAAUUAAGAAUGCGUAGCCAAAUUGCCAAUGUUUUUGAGUGUUUAAUAUCUCUGUUAACUGAGUCAUGUAUUAUGGAUAUGAACACCCACAUGGCAGGCUAUAGAUUUUCUUUACCUUCCAUGGCUGUUUUGACUCUUGGCUAAAUUAAAUUUACCUGUUAACAAAAUACAACAUAUGUUGAAAUUUGCUGUAGCAAAUUUAAAUGAUUUUGCCCUUUUCUUAUUGCCAUUUCCUAACAAAGCUAUUCAACCUAGGAUUGGUCUGGUGCUAUGAAAUUGAGCAUUAAUUUCUUUUCUCCAUUUUUCAAAAUUAUCUCAUGGAUGCUUGAUAAUAUACGUUUUCCUUUUUUUUUGGUCUGAGUCCAAAUACGGUAUUGAUUUCAUCGUGUUAUUAUAUUAUGGCAGAUCGAUGAUUCCACAAAAUGCAGCUUUGGACCAUAUAAGCACACCUUCAGAAAGUGGUGAAAUACCUUUGGUUAUAAAUGUUGAAAGUCAGCACAUUUUUUGACGAUUCUAUGGCAUGGAAGGGGAUACUUUGUUAGCUGACAUACAACUGGCACUUCCAAAUAGGUGCUAUUUGUUACCUUCAGGCAUGCACAAAUCUAAUACAUCAUCAUGUCCUACUAUCACAUGUGAAGAAGCUCUUAAGAGGGAGUUGGAGUAUCGGCAAAAAAUUGAAAGGAGUCAUCCACAUCUGCUGGUUGGCCUUAAUGGAUCCCCUGCAUUGCUGAAUGUAAGUUUCUUUUUUUUUUUUGACGGUUGAAUGUAAGUUUCUGAUUUGAUGGCUUUCAGUAUAACUUCGUAGCAAACAUUCUAUGACUGGAUUAGAAAAAUGCAACUAGCCUACUAAGCUGACCAAUAGAAGAUAUUUGAAAAUUUCACAAUCAGAUGUUUUCUUCGCUAAUAGAAUAAAGUGAGAGUAGUCUACCCUGUAAUUUUAAUGAGAAAGUAGCUUUCCCUCUUGGUGUUAGUGCAGUUUGAUCGGUUGUGUUAUCCCUAUGUAAUUAAAGGUAUAUACUUGAGUUGUUGUUUUGUAGUUUUACCUAUGGUUAGGUUCUAAACCAUGCAGCUCUAUAAUAGGGUUAAGUCCGAUUUAUGCCCCUCAACUAUCACCAAAGUUUGAUUUACCCCAUCAACUCUAAUACCCGACGUUUUACACUUAUCAACUUUUUAAACCGGACCAAAGACACCCCUCAGUGGUUUAGUUCUAUGUAACAUAGACAUGUUCAUAUGGGGCCCACUGUCAGCCCCUAUUCAUCUUCUCCCUCCCAACUCUCUCCCCAUCUUUCUGUUUGUUGAGCUUGGAGCAGUGCAGCCGCAGAUCUUCCGCAUAUCCGCUUCUCAAAAUUUUUCCUACUCUAGUGAGCUGCAUGUGAUUAUGUGAACUGCACAGCAUGCAUCGUUUGGUUCAUCAAGGUUGCACUGAUCCUCAAUUUGUAAUAAAAAUCAUGGGUCGGACAAACCAACAAACUAACUAACGGACAGGAAAACAAUUUUAAAUGGGCAAUUAAGUGACAAGAAACUAAAGAAUAAAAAAAAAAUUCUGUACCUAGGAGCCAACAAAGGACUCCCCAAAUUCUUCAAUAGGAAAGCAUAAAUCUGAAAGCGGCUAGUGGCCAUACAUACAAAUAACGAGUACAGCAGCAUGCUAGCGGAGGCACAGGAGCAGCAGGAUGGCAGCGCCGCAGCAGUGGCUUUUGAGAAGCUUGGAGGUCUACGGCUGCACUGUUUGAAGCUCAACAAACAGGGGGGGGGGUUAGGAGGAGGAAGAAGAUGAAUAGUGGCUGACAGUGGGUCCCAUAUAAACAUGUGUAUGUCACAUAGGACUAAACCACUUUUGAUUUGGGCAGGGGGAUGUAUUUGGCCCGGUUUUAAAAAGUUGAUGGGUGUAAAACGUCCGGUAUUAGGAGUUGAGGGUGGUAAAUCAAAAUUUUGUGAUAUUUGAGGGGGUUAAAUCAGACUUAACCCUCUAUACUAUGUUCUAAUAUACAGGACAAUUGCAAAUUUCAUUUUGUAGCAUGCAUCACUAUCCAGGAUUUCCUUUAUCAUGUAACCAUGAAACUAAUGAUUAUUUUAGUUAUUGAUACCAGUAUACCGCUAGAAUGUUUCCUCAUCAAAAUUUGACAUCUUUGAAUGGUAAUCCCAAAGAGGUCGAAUGACCUCGCCGCUCACCUAUGUGGGCUGAUAUUACAUCACAUGGCCAAGCGGGAACUAGAGGGAAGGAGUAGGAGAACUGAGCUUGCCAGUGGUUAAGGUGUGACAGUGGUGGUUGCUAUAGCUAGAGGCAAGGAAGCACAAAGGAGGAAUAGAGGAAUGAGGAUGAAAAAAAAGCACAUUGUGGUGUUAGAUGCCACGAGAGCAUAUUUGCAGUGGCAUAUCCAUUAGUCUGAUGCAUUCACUUUACAAUGGGAAUAUGGAAAACAUCUAAAUAACCCUCAAAAUAAUGAUUCUGAAUGACUUUUCAUUAGAUGUACACUUGGAUGUUGACUCAAUCCCUUGUAAAGUUGAUGCCUCUGCAUUCUGAAUUUCUGAUUUUAAAUAUUCUUUUGCAUUUGCUCUUCUAGGGCUAUGUAUACAAGCAUAUAUUUUAGAGUAAAUUACUAAAUUUCACUAAAUUACGGAUACUAUGAUCAAAUUACUAAAUUUCAAAAUUGUAGAUUUAACUCGGUGUAUCACAAAACUACACAUUUUAGAUGAAGUGUCAAACUACAUGUUUAGUAACUAAAUUAUCACAAAACUACAAGUUUAGAAUCAAUUUAGUUACAAAACAGUAAUGUUUAUAGCUCUAGCAUAAUAAUGGUGCUAAGGAUUUAAACUCUAAAACCUGUAGUUUUGUCAUAACUUCAAUAUUAAAUAUGCAGUUUUGUGAUACUUAACCUUAAUUCUGUAGUUUUGUGAUAAAUAUGAUGCUAAAUCUGUAGUUUUGUGAUACAACGCCUUAAAUCUGUAGUUUUACGAUAGUUUGAUCAAAAUACCUGUAGUUUUAUGAAAUUUACUCUUAUUAUUCUCCAGAAUCAUGAAAGACCAUGCGCUAUUGUUGCUACGUCUUUUGUUCAUCGUACCUUGCUACAUUACUUUACAGAAAUAAAUUGGUGUUAACAUGUCCUUAAAAAAAAAAACUUCCAGGAGGUUGGAUCUGGUUCAUCACCUGAUUUGUCAAUGAGGAACUCAGCCCAUGACAGCUAUAUGCCCUCACCACAGGCAUGUUUUGUUGGUUCCACUGUACAAAGACCACCAGCAAAUUGGUACCCCUCAAAGAAAAAGUUGAAAGUUCUACAGCAUCCUUCACAGGCUUUGCAGGCCCCCAGGCCAAAUUUGAUACCUUCCUUUUGGUGCAAAAUUUGUAAGGUGGAUUGUGUUACAGAAUUUAAUUUUGGUGCCCAUAUUGGAGGAAAAAAACACAAGGCAAAAAAGCUGGAGAUUCUUGGUAAUAGAAACAAUGCAAGACCUGCCACUGGCAAUCAAUGUACAGGUAAUAGAAAUCCCAGACCAAAUGGCAACGCAGGUUCUGGAAGCAGAAACAAUGAACCAAAUGUGUUUAAUAGCAAUAUUGCCCAACCAAGCAGUGACACUUUCUCUGGAAGUCAAACCAACGGAACAAUUGGAAAUGUAUGUACUUCUCUGUUAAUGACUGCUUGCAACUUACAUGGCUAUAUGUUUAUAACAAGUAUUUUGAUUUCAUUUUCCUCUGAAAUACUAAUCGACAUGUUUAAUUCUCAGCCUCACAAGGAAAUGUCAUCUGAUGGUGAUGGAAUAAGCAAUAGCAAACUAGAGCAAAAUGUAUGAGCCUCCGACCAUAGUGCAAUAUGGUAUAUGCUGUACUUUUGUGAUACCAACUAACUCUUUGUUCCUUCUAUGAAAUGCACAGUGCUGAUACUGGAUCAUCUGAACACAAGUGAUGAAUAAAGAUACUUGAAGCUUAUGGUUGAACCGGUAAGUCCUGUUUUAUGUAAUUCAGAUUCACCAGUCAUUUUCUUUUAAUCGAUUGUAAACUGGUCACGAGUCCUGCAUGCUUGGAGCGUAAAAUGUUAUAGUUUAGUUUUUCAGAUGAGUGUAGUAUUAUAUGUCCAUAUGCCUUAUAGGCUUAAAUCAUCAUAAUUUUGCUGGUGUAUUGCUUUGCCUUUACAGUCAGGGUUCUGUUGAAUGAUUCUAUUUCUAUAUCUGUUUGUUAGGCUGUGCGUGGCUUUACCAUUUAGCAUCCUUAGAGGAAGGGUCGUGUUAACUCUAAGCUUAUUCGUUUUGCAAGGUUAUAGCAUACUUCAGGAACAUCUUCCCAGUUGUCCCCAUGUGUGUGUCAUGCCACAAGUGCAGCCAAGGAUUUGAGCACCACACUUUGGGCAAAGAAACGGGAGGUACUGCAGCUGAACUGUGGCGUGCUGUCAUUCAGUAAAGAAACAAACUUGGCUGGAACCAAACAGGUCUUUAACCUGCUGAUGUACAUAGUUUUCUCUUUACACUAGUUGUCUUAUUUUUUGUUGCAAAUCAUGUAGAAAUAAAAAAAAAUCCUUGCUUGGAUGAUGGUAUCUUGCAUGCUUUAGCUUGAAUUGCUCUGGAAAUUUUAUCUGGUCAGUAAGACAGUUUCUGGUUAUCACUCUUCUGUCUUCUCCAGUUUUCUUUGGUCAUAAUUUUGCUUUUAGUUUGUAUAGUUCAAAUAUCAUAAUUUAUUGCAAUGUACCUUUGAUAUUUGUUUGUCUGUUCAACCAACAAUUCUUCAUUUUGAGACAUGAAUCCUCUAAGGAUUGCAGACAUAAGGGAAUUCUGCUGCUUAUAUGAUGUCCGCAGUUCUGAUUUUCUCUCCAAAGUUUUCGUGGCUGGAGUUAUGUAGAAUUGUAGAUACAAUAUCUCAAAUCUUCAUGGCUAGUACUAGAAUCUAUCUUGACAUGUUCUCUCUUAACUACGCCUUGGACGCCUUUUUCCCUGUCGGAAUGAUAGGUCCGUCAUAACCUAAUCUGAUGUUUGGUUGUAUAGUUAUUUGACUAGUUAGUGGCUGUCUUAAGACACCAAUUGUUAUGAAGAUUUGGAGGUCUUGUUUCAGUAAUCCAGUUAUCCCUCUAGUCACAUGCAUUGCCAUGGGCUUCCAAGCUUAAAUAUUUUGAUUACUCGUCGGGAAUACACAUCUAAGAGAAUGAUAUUUUAGAUAAUGGAUUUGAAAAAAACCCGGCCUCUACACCCUGCAGGAUAUUUGCAGCCACAAAGUUAUGUAGUCUGAGCAUUUAAACUCGCAAUACAGGUUUCAAGCAACAAAACAUAAACCCCAGGCACUAGGCUUCCGAACGGUAUCUAGCAGCAACAAAACAGAGAAAACAAAGUUCGAAACUUCCAACCUUCCUCUCCAAUGAUGUUUGCUUUAUUUUUUAAGGACUGUUUUACCAAUCUGAAAUGUUACGGUGAACUGAAUAUGGCUAAAUAUUCCAGACGUGUAGAACUUGUAGCCCAGAAUGAACGAACGGUCCCAAUCAAUCAUAGCGUGGAAAUAAGGUGCACGUUUUGCCAUCACAAUCAACUUCUUAUCUCGACCGUUGAUCAUUCAAUUCGAUGUCUGCUCUUAGCUUUUUCUCUCACUUGGAAACCGACCGUUCCUUGCCUGAUUAGAUCAUUCGAACGGUUGAUUGCUUAUUUGGUGUUAGCUGAUCGCCGUCCAUGUGACCACUGAUCACAAAAGCUUCUUGCCAAUAUGACAGUAACAUAGCUCUGAAGAAUUCUCUUGAUCCAGAACUGCCAGCUGAAAAUUAGCACACUCCAAUUCUCCAAAUGCUCAGCAACCACAAGUUCACAACUGCAAUGGUUAGUCGACGCAGCUAAGCUCCAAACACCAUUGGUCCCUGUAGCCACCAUGCUCCAAGUUGCUGUCCAUUGUGUCCGUAUUCUCCUAAUCCAUUCUAGCCAAGAAUUCUCUCUCUUCUCAUCAAGCCAAGAAUUCUCUCUUCUCACCAAGCCAUGUACUUUGAGCAGAGCAGCCGCUGCUCAGCCACAAGCUCCGCUGCGGUCCACGUGUCGCUAUUGUGUUACGACACAUCGCGCGCCGCCAUUGGUCCGGAACAGAGCCCCAAAAAGCGAGCUAUAUCCAAUCUUGGAUCGAUGGCUAGAGAGAUUUGUGGCGCAGCUGCUUCCGGUUCCUCCUAUUUACUUAGCUUGUCAAAACACAUUACUCACUAGUAGCGUACACUACCACAGCUAGCAAUGGAGACCUCGUGCUUCCUUACCUCCAAUGCCUCGCCGGUGAAGAGCAUGGUGAUGCCGUCGCCGGCCGGCGUCGUGAAGGCCAGGCCGCACGUGCUCUUCGGCGGCCGGCGAGCGGCGAGCUCGUCGGUGACCACCUGUGAGUGAUCGAUCACAUGUUUGGUUGGUGAUUCUUUGAUGGAUUCUUGUUUUGUUGGGUUUGAUUAGAUGUGUGUGUUUAUUUGGCAAUUGGCAUGUGCAGGCUGCAGCUACAACGGCGAGGGCGCGGCGCCGGCGAUCGACCCGGACUGGCGGUCGUUCAGGGCGCAGCUCUACUUCAACGAGCAGUACGCGAAGAGCGUGAACCCGGCGGUGGCGGCGGUGAGGGCGACGGCGACGACGCCGGAGCCGGUGAAGAUCGGCGACAAGUGGGCGCACCCGCUAGUGGAGCCGGAGAAGGGGUGCCUGCUGAUCGCGACGGAGAAGCUGGACGGGUCGCACAUCUUCGAGCGCACGGUGGUCCUCCUCCUGUCCGCCGGCGUGCUGGGCCCCGUGGGCGUGAUCCUGAACCGGCCGUCGCUGAUGUCGAUCAAGGAGGCGCAGGCGGUGUUCGCGGAGACGGACAUCGCGGGGGCGUUCUCGGGGCGGCCGCUCUUCUUCGGUGGCCCGCUGGAGGAGUGCUUCUUCCUGCUGGGGCCGCGGGCGGCGGCGGCGGGGGACGUGGUGGGGAGGACGGGGCUGUUCGACGAAGUGAUGCCCGGGGUGCACUACGGGACGCGGGAGAGCGUGGGGUGCGCGGCGGAGCUGGUGAAGCGCGGCGUGGUCGGGGUGAGGGACUUCCGCUUCUUCGACGGCUUCUGCGGGUGGGAGAGGGAGCAGCUGCGCGACGAGGUGCGCGCGGGCUUGUGGCGCGUGGCGGCGUGCAGCCCCGCCGUGCUGGGCCUCGCCACCGUCGUCAAGGGCGGACUCUGGGAGGAGGUGCAGGGCCUCGUCGGAGAGAGGAGGGUGUGGUGACUGAUUACUUCUCAAGGGUGACCAUUAUGUAAUUAAUUAAUUAAUUAAUCUCUUAAUUAACUCGCAAGUAAAGUAUUUACUCCUUUCAGAUUAAUGAUUUUAGGCUUUUAGUCAUCACGGUAGGUUUAAAGAGGGUUGUAUUUGUAUACUCUGUAUCUUGUACUCUUAUCGUUUUGCCCACCACUACGCGAACACACCUCGAUGCCCUUCUCGUCUCCAACGCAUACACUACUUCAUACUUUAUAAUUAAAGCCUUAACUUUCAAAUCAAAAUUCUUUCAAUUUUAGAAAUUUCAGCUUAGAAUGUCAAAUUUUCAAUACAUUCUACCACUCAUUUUAAAAUUUCUACAUAAAUAUUGGCAAGUUUGUACCGAUAAACUCAAAUGUUUAAUUCACGUAACAAAACACCAUUGAGCAACUUGGAGCCUCAAACACCAUUCAAAAGCCUCAAACUUCCAACUGAAUGGUGCUCGCUUUGCCAAACACCAUUGAGCAACUUGGAGCUCACCUGCAUCUAGAUCCAAGAGUAAGAAGAAUUUGUGUGAAGUGACUUGCUAUCCUUGGAGAUAAGAGGCUCGUCCAUGACCCGGGGGGGGGGGGGGGGGGGUUGUAUAGAAACAAACACGUCUUAUGAGAGGUUCAUCUGCUCCGCCACUAUGCUAGGAACUUAAUUGGGCUGCACAUGGGCUAUAUAUUUUACCCAUAAUCCAAGGCCGGGACUACGAGCCUCAGAAAGAGGAUACAAAAACAAACAACAUUGGAUGUACUAUCUAUCUACUCUCUCCGUCCCAUAAUAUAAGAGAUUUUGAAUUUUUGCUUGUAGUGUUUGACCACUCGUUUUAUUCAAAAAAUUUAUGUAAAUAUAAAAAACGAAAAGUUGUGCUUAAAGUACUUACGAUAAUAAAGUAAGUCAAAGAAAUAAAUAAUAAUUCCAAAUUUUUUUAAUAAGACGAGUGGUCAAACACUACAAGUAAAAACUCAAAAUCCCUUAUAUUAUGAGACGGAGGGAGUAUCUAUCUAUCUAUUAUAUACUAAAAGUCCAUUAAACUUCCUAUGAACGCUCCUAAGCCACCACGUGGCACCUCUACAAACUCUCCUACGUCGCCACAUGGCACUCUAAUAAAUUAGAAGAAUUAAGCAAAUGUGAACUAGUUGGUUUUCAUUUAAUCUGGUGGAUCCAUUAUUUUUAACCGUUAGAUAUAUAGCAUAGAAAAUGUCAAAUAGAUUUAUUAUCUUUAAAAAUCCACACAUGCGCCGUACGUGUACGUGCAUGUACGUACAUAUUUUGUACGUGGGCCCCACGCCCCCUUUUCUUUUUUUUCUUUUUCACUAACACAUGAGAAAAAACAAAAUUCAUAUUCCAGCCCAUAUAGUUCGGAGUAUGUACUUGCAUGUAGGGCCCCACGUCCCCACAUUUCUUUUCAUUUUCCUUUUUUCACUCACAUAAGAUAAAAACCACAUUAAUAAUUCCAACCCAUAGUUGUACAAAUAUAUUUAUUUUUGAGUUGUAUUGUACUAUACGCACAUCAUUGAAAUAUUCAUAAAAUAUCUAAAUAAAUGAAUAAUAUACAUUAUAUAAUUAUAUAAUUGUAUGUCACUUAAUGACAUGUAUUGUUAAAUUAGAAUUGCAUUUUGAAAAAUAAAAACAACUCCAGUUGUGAGUAACAUUGCAAAAAUGAUUCGCUCCCUACUAUAAGAAAAUACUGUUAUAUCGGAAUAAUAUUAUUAAAUUAUCAUAAUUACACUCUACCAAUCAUAUACCUAAUAAUUAAAAAAUUACUAAAAAAGAUAAAAAUAACUUGACAAAUAUUAGUGCACUACCACAUUAUUCAUAAAAAAUAAGGAAAGCUAUUUUUUAUUAACUAUACUAUUAAUAAUUUUAAUGUUAUGAUUUAAUAAGUAAUAUUAUUAUUUAUUUGUUAACUUUUUUUAUACCGUUUAGCUGUUCGAGAAACGUGCUCGCUACAAAUAAGGGAGUAUCUAAUCCUAUAAGCUCUUUAGAACACACUCUUAAAUUUAUUACUUAGAUACAAACACAAUAUAUACUAUACAAUAUAUUUGGUCAAUCCUGGCCUAAAAUAUCAAUCGUAAAUCCUCACUGAUCCUCAUGUAUGUAAGUUUUAUAUAUAAGCCAUUAUCCACUAAUCAUCAAGCCAUAUUGCUUACGAGGCAUGUGUGCACAGUGCAUAUAACGAUUAGUUGGCCCUUGAUUUACUUGGGGUUGGCAAUGAGCAAAGAUAAGGUGACUAAGAGGGAGUUGUUACCAAUCAUGCAAAAAGUUGAGAAAAGGAUGGAUAGCUGGCAAAGUGGACACUGUUGGUAUUUUUUAACGAUAAUACUAGAAAUCUAAUUCCCAGCAAUGGCGCAGAAAUACUCGUAGUAUAUUAUGGUUACAGAUUUCAUCCGCAAACGCACGGAUAUUCUAUUGUAGCAUUUUAUCCGAGAAUAUUCCAAGGGUAUCGUAUUUGUUUAAUCCCAUGGGAAGAUUAUAAUAGAGAAAACCAAGCUAAUAUUUAUAUGUUACUUGUAAUAAUCAAAGUCUAAGCAGGGGUUAGUUCAAUUCAAAGGGUAGGGUGACACAAAGCUGAAGCAUUCACUAUUCUCAUAUAUACUAAUUCUAGGCUAAAUGGAAAGAAUAAGAAAAUAAUCAUUUCCUAUACUUCUAAUAUACAUACAUACACUUCAGUCAAUAUUAUCUACUAUAUAAUCAUAUAACCAAUACCCCUCUUACGAUGCCCUCCUGGUGUUUCGAGAGACCACCCCUGAUUGCCGAGUUCCUUACGACAACCCGUCAUGGUCAUCCAACCGGGGUUAAAUACGGAGGAGUACCCUCCCCAGGAAAGUAACUUUGGAUUAUAUACACGCGUGGAGGAAUACCCGUAUUGAGCUGUCACCAUCAACGGCCCACCUCGGCAUAUUCAUAGCAUGAGAUGAAUGGGAAUAGAUUGGAUUAUAGUAGAUGAAAUAACAAGGAACAGUCCUGAACCUAAACAGCGCGACGCUCUCCGUUGCACUGAGAAGGCAGGCCGAUAGGCACUGAGAUAAAUCUUGAUCUAAUGCCUAACUGACCUGAGAUAGGAUUGCUCCUUAUAUAGAUGGAGGACUCCUUAAUCUAAUCCUAACAAACCCUAACUCUAUCUAAUGAGCCUAGGACUCCUGGCCCAAAGCCCAUGACAUUACUCCCCUCUUUUUGAGCAGCUCGUCCUCGAGCUGCAGCACACCCUGCUAGACUCAAACGAAGUACCAUAACCUAAACAAAGACUUUCAAGCCUUUUACAUCUUGGCUUGCUGUUAUUAUGGACGAAAAUAGAACAAAAUUCAUUGUUAUUGCCAGGCUACUAUGCAAGCAGCAUGCACAGGAGGACCCCACCCAAGAACCUUGAGUGAAAGGAGGGCUCGAAUAGUAACCCAAUCUCCAGUCCAAUUGACCACCAGAACAGCCCACCAGUAGAUUCCGACGGAGGCCUUGACCAAAAAUCCUUGGCCCAAAAUAUGAUAAUGAUCCACCUUUACGUAUGGGCCAACAUGGAAACCAACCAGCCCAACCAGGAGAGGACAGAAACCAUAUCUCCCUUUUCUUCCGGAGACCACGCCGCUACGAGCGACGAGCUGCAAACUUCUAGCGCUUGGACUUGGCGCGAUCUGUGCCGCCUCCACGCCUCUACCCAUCGAGCGCACGAAAUGGGCCAACCCCGCGAAGCACGCGGUUCGCGAGUAGAUCGUGCCAAACCAGGCGCUCAAAGAAACUGCUCCGCCUCCCAUGGCUCUGCUCCAACCGUCAGCGAAAUUUGCGCCGCUAACUGCGGAAACCGCGUCACAUCUCCUAGAAAUUGCGCUUGAGAACCGAACGCCCAAGCCGUGUUGUGUCGCCGUCGAAGUGGAACUCGCCGUCGUCUUCGCUGCCUCCGUCGAGGGCGCCAACGGCGAUGACGCCAUCGCCAGGCCCAGCGGUGUGAUCGAGUGCUGGAUAGGCUGGAUCUCCCAUGACCUGGUUCUGUCGGCCUUGUUCUUUUAGAUGUUAAUGAAGCACACCGUUUCCCCACAGUAGAUACCGGCGGCUUGGGCAGAGGAGCUGUCGUUGAUGCCAUCCCCAACACCACGCCACCAGAUCUUGUUUCCGCCAAGAUGAGCAGCAGAGCUCCUGGCAGACGACCGCGAGGGGCAGCCAUCUUUGGCUUGAAAUUGACCGCGAGGCGGCUCAUCUUCUUCCUCGAGCUGGCACCUCGCAACCGACGCUUGAAAUUGUGCUGCCGUGGUCGCAGGAACAUCACGACCUGCCGGUCAGAUCGCUCGGUGGCUCCGAGAGACAUGGCCUGCUCGGCUGAUAGAGCCACUAAAGCCUGGACUUGCUCUGCCAAGUCCAUCAGCCUCUUCGAAAUCUCGGCAAGGUCAUUGCUGAUGUUGGCGCAAAGGUGUCAGGAACCGCAACGAUCUCGGAACCCAUGGGCACGAAACCGAAGCUCUGAUACCAAGUUGUCACGAGCAAGGAUUAUGUGGAGAAGAAUCGAGAUGAAUAGGAAUAGAUUGGAUUAUAGUAGAUGAAAUAACAAGGAACAGUCCUGAACCUAAACAGCGCGACGCUCUCCGUUGCACUGAGAAGGCAGGCCGAUGGGCACUGAGAUAAAUCUUGAUCUAAUGUCUAACUGACCUGGGAUAGGAUUGCUCCUUAUAUAGAUGGAGGACUCCUUAAUCUCCUUAAUCUAAUCCUAACAAACCCUAACUCUAUCUAAUGAGCCUAAGACUCUUGGCCCAAAGCCCAUGACAUAUAACCCCAAAUAAUGAUAUUCAAUAGCUUAAGCACCUCGCUUAUGCUACCAAAUACUACUCUACAAUCACUGUCGUGACUUAAAGUAAUGAUAUAAAUGAAUAUUAUACCCACACCAUUCCAUCUCCCGAGAAAGCUAGCUAAACAAUUAUAUCUCGAAUAAUAUCUCAUAAAGUAGGUACUCAAAUAGUCAGAGUGAAGUAAAGUAUCGUAAAUAUAUUGAGAAGAAUAUUCUAUAAAUAUUGCAAGUCUUACAAAAGAAGGAAAAGCUGCUAGAGCCAUACCCGAACUCUUCUGAAGACUCCGAGAACUGAAGAUUCUAUUCUAUUUCUAUUCCACUAUAUUCUGGAGACUAUACUAAACUUGAGAGAAUGUAUAUAUGAAUCUUCUUGCUUAAGGUGUGUGUUGAAAUGGAGGAUGAGAGCUCCUUUUAUAGCAUGGCAAUGACGGUUAUGGCGGUUGGAAAGAUCGGUAAUACCCUCCAACCGCCAUAGGGAAGCAAUCCAGACCAUCCAGCGCCAACCCUGCAUCGAACGGCUGCAUGGUUCGGCCGAACCAUGGGCUAGGCCAAACCAGCUCAAUCUCGGCUGGCGGCCUUCUUAUCUCUUCCCUUAUUCAGAACAACAAAUUUUGGGCCUAUUGGAUUGUGGCAAUUCUGUGUUCUUGGCCCAUUCAUCCAUAAGUCUGAUUCUCGAUAGCGUUCGUUUGAUUGAUCGUCCGUUUUGCUGCCAAUUCUCCUCCAUUUUGUGUUAUUCUCUGCAAGAGGUUAGAAAGCCUAGUGCUAGUGGAAUAUAACUUAUUCUAACACAAAUACACAUUGCAAGCAUAACUAGUUCUCCUUUAUUUUGAUAAUAUCGACGGGUAAAACUGAUCGAUAACGACCAUCAACAGACACCUUUUCUAUGGUGGGAGGGAGAUAAGGAUUAAUGUUUGCCUGACCAGCAUUGCUUUGUACACUAUGGGGUUCUAUCAUCUUCCUGAGGAGUUCCAUAAGAAGAUGGAAUCAAUUAGGGGGAGAUUUUACUGGCAAAAGAAGAGAUACCAUAUGCUGAAAUGGCAGGCCCUUUGUAAACCAAAAGAUUUUGGGGGGCUUGGUUUCAUUGACACAAGGCUGAUGAAUACAGCAAUGUUAUGCAAAUGGAUUGUUAAGCUGGAAAAUAACUCUAAGGACAUGAGUUGUGAAGUGCUGAAAAGGAAGUACCUGAGGGAUGGUAGAAGUUUCUUUAGCAGUUCUUCAAUUGGGGGUUCUCAAUUCUGGAAGGGACUUCAUGCUGGCAAGAAGUGGCUGCAGUUGUUCAUGGAGAGAAAAGUAGGGAAUGGAAAACAUACCUUAUUUUGGGAGGAUGUGUGGUUAGUGUCAGAGUAUAUGGUAGUUAGAGUCAUAUUAGGAUAGGAUUGAUUUGUGUGGACUCCUUCCAUAUCUGUAAUCCUUCCAUAUCUCCUCCCAUGUACUCCUAUAUAUACCUGCCCCCUGAGGCUCAAUACAAUAUGUCCAAUAUUCGCAGUAUCCUCUUUCCCCAUACUAUCCAACAUGGUAUCAGAGCGGGCGAUCUAGUCGCCUCUCUCUCACGCUUCCGCUCAUCGCCCCCGGGAGGGUUUCGAUCUCCUGGGGGCGGCCACCCGUUUUUCGUUUUUUUUUCUCGUCGUGCUUCGCCGCCGAGAUCGAUCUCGAUCUCCUCGGCAUCGUCGAGUCGUCUUCGCGUCAUUGUGAAGAAGUCAGUAGCAUCGUACCAUCCACAUCGUCGUCGCCGAUCUGGAGGGCAUGGCCGACCUGAUCUCCACCAGCACCCUGACGUCGCCGGUAGGCCGCGCCGCCCGCUGGUCGUCGGCCUCACCUAGGGCAAGGCCGCCCCGACGCCACCGGCGCCAUCUUCAUCAAGCUUCGUCCGGGCGCCGGUGUUGCUAUGGUCGUCGCGGUGUCGUUGGCGCGGCACAGAGUACGGGGGGACACAUCCCUGCCGGUUCCUCCUCGGCGGCCGCCUACGCCUGCAGGCCGCCGUUCACCGUCGACGCCCCCUCCACCAUCCACGCAACCAUCUGGCAGUCGUCAUCUGGAGGUCGUCGUCGUUGCGGUCGAGGUGCGGUCGAGGUGCGGUCGCAACCAUCUGGCAGCCGCACGCCCUCCGCCUUCGGUCGCCGGCCUGGCUGACGGGGUGCCGCUUUCUGCUGUCCGCCGGGCUGCCGGCCUCGGCUGCUCACCUCGAGGUUGUCUCCUUGGCUGCGCCGACAGCACGUCUCCACCAGCGCCUCCCAUCCGUUCGCCGGCCUCAACGCCCACCGCCUGGCGCUCUCCCUCCCCCCGCUCUGUCUCUCUCGGAGAUGGUGGACGCGUUGACUGUUCGUCUGCUCCAUGCCAAUGAAGUGAGAGAUUGGGGAUGAGCAAGUUAUUCAUGGGCUCAGGACUGUGUGAACUUGGUCCAUGGACCAUGGAAGACGUGGAGUUUGGCUUCUACUGUGGACUACUGCAUGCUACUGUAUCAAUUUUUUUUUCCGAACAGAGUUUGGGUUUGCGUCGCCCACCGCCUCGUCGACAUCCGCGCGUCUCCGAUAUCGGCAUCGACUCAGCUUUGACUUUAUCAUUCCGCCUCGCGCAUCUUCGGCUUGAUCACCCGUUCAAGCGCCCGGCUACAACGACUUCUACAACCGAUCGUCAUCGAGCACGCGUCUACGUCAUCAAGCUUUGGGUUGCCGCUGCGUCGCCCUCUCGGGCUGCAGUGUCGCCGCCUGUGGUCCACCUCUACUGGUUGUUGGAAUGCUGAGAGGCGCCCUCCUCAGCGUGGCCUCACCGCCGGUGGAGUUCUCGCUGCUGCAUCGACAUCGAGCUGCACCUGUGUUGCCCCUUCGGGUCACAGCGUUGCCCCUGUCAUCUUCAUUGCCGUUCGCACAUCGACAACCUCGUCGUCUGCACUGGUCAUCAUCAGCCGCUCAGAGUCUUCUUCGUCUACUUCGAGCAUCGCCGCCGCAUCUCCAAGCUGCCAUUGUCGCCACUCUAGGCCGGUGGUCCAGCUACCUCUACAUGGCUACCGACGUCACCGUCCAGGCCAUUGGUCCCGCUACUUCGCCUUCUACUUCAUCCAGCAUGACUCAUCGCCAGCGUCGCCGUAUCUUCCUCGACUACACUUCGCUCUUUUCCAACAACCGCAUGCUGCUCCGGCAAUUCUCCCUCUACGCCGUUCUCGUGCCGCAAUCGUCUUGGAGGCCUUCUCUGCUAGUCUCCUCCGACAUUGGGAUAUGAUUCAUGGUGGUCCCCUGUCUCGCCCGCGCGAUAUUGGCAACACUGGCGCGCGCGUUCGUCCCGAGUUGUCCCGGAGUCUGGCAAACCUUGUGUGACGUCUCGUCCUUCACGGUUCGACUACAUUGGCUCUUCGGCGUCAUCUUCCUCAACGACUGCCGCGAUUGUGUCACCGUCUUCAUCUCCGGUGCAUCCUCACACACCUUGGUCCACGACGCCCUCCCGUGCGUCCACGACCACUCUACGGCGCCUCAUGCGCUCCCUGUGGCUCGGCUACCUUGACAUCAGCUUCCUGACUUCGGCUACAACGACCACGGCUACUCUACGCACGACUUCAUCGACCACGGCUCCCUCGCAUCCAUCGCUUUGGCUAUGUCGACAACGGCACAAAGGGCUAUCAUCCGUGUUGAGCACUCUUGCCGUUUUCUUCUCCAUUCCAAGUGUCCACGCUGCUCACGCUUGGACUGCGGGGGGAUGUUAGAGUAUAUGGUAGUUAGAGUCAUAUUAGGAUAGGAUUGAUUUGUGUGGACUCCUUCCAUAUCUGUAAUCCUUCCUUAUCUCCUCCCCAUGUACUCCUAUAUAUACCAGCCCCCUGAGGCUCAAUACAAUGUAUCCAAUAUUCGCAGUAUCCUCUUUCCCCAUACUAUCCAACAGUUAGGACAAGCUCCUCUUAGAGUGCAGUACCCUGGGUUGUAUAAAUUAGUUUGCAAUGUAAGAAGUCUGUCAGACAUGUGUGGGAUAGGGUAAAAUUGGAGUUAAGUUUCAGAAGGCAAUUGAAUGAAGAGAAUACUUUAGAACUACAGGAACUAAUAGGUAGGUUGAAAGGGUUUGGUAUUACAACAGAUAAUGACCAAAUUGUUUGGCCUUAUGGGAAGAAAGGGGAGUACAAUGCGAGAUCCUUGUAUAGAUCAUUAAGUUUUGGUGGGGUUACAUAUGCUGGUAGUAUGGCAAAGUAAAAUUUCUCUUAAGAUCAAACACUUUGUGUUCUUAGCCAUAAGAGGGAGAAUUCUUUGUGCAGUAGAAUUGAUCAAAAAGAAAUGGAGAGGGGGUGAUGAAUUUUGUAAGCUCUGUGGGAAAAGGGAAUGAGUGAAUCAUGUUUUGUUUAACUGCUCUAUUGCCAAAUUGUUUGGUGUGUGAUUAAAGAGUCUUUGGGGUUAGAUUUGACUCCUGGCAACUUAGGGGAUGUCUUGGCUAUGUUUAAAAAGAAACUAGGGAGUUCAAUGGGUGUUUUUUUAGUUGUUGUGUGUGUUUGGACGAUUUGGCUCAAUAGAAAUGAUUGGGUUUUUGAAAAUAUUCUGGUCAAAUCUCCUUUGCAGGUGGCGUACAAGGCCGUUGCUAUGAUGCAAAGGUGGAAGGAGUUACUAAAGGGGGGAGGUCGAGGGCAAGUAGAUAACUGGAGAGACAAGAUCUUGGCAAACUUGGCGCGGCUGCGGCAACUUUGUGACCCUCCUGAAUUCAUCUUACGCUGGUGGUUGAUGCUGGAGCUGGUUUUUGGGUGGUGUUUUCUCUGUGAUCGUGGUGUCAGCUUUGCUUGAAUGUUAGCUGGAAACCCCAGCCUGUUUAUUAGUUUGUGUCCUGGUUUUCUUUUUCAGUUAGAUUGUUGUUUGUUUGAGACUCUGUUCCUUUUGGCUUGGUUUUCAAGCUGGGUAAUGAAAAUUGCCUGAUCUCAAAAAAAAGAAAAAAAAAGAAAAAGCGGCGUCAGGACGACGGAUCGGCGCCUCGGCGGCGGCUGCGGUUGAUACGGAGGAGAUCGCGGCAGCGGUUGAGACUUGAGAGGAAGGCGGACGGAUCAAGACACCGCUCGGCCGUUUUCUUUUCGCUGAUUCCGGAUCGCGAUCGAUCGAGUCGCGCGACGGUGGUGUGCGGACUGCGGAGGAGGAGCGCGUAGUUCCGAUUUUCUGAUCCACACAUGUGCUUACAUGCAAAAAUUUCGCGAUUCCCAGCGACACGAAAUAUUAACAGAAUUCAUUUGGUUUAGAUAAGCCAUACGCGUGCGACGGCGCCGAAUCUAUCCACCAAGAUAAUUAAACUAAUCUCCAGAUUAUUUCUCAUCCAAGCCUGCUUCCCUCCUCUAUAAAUUGACUCCACCCCGGCCGAGGUUUCCUCACCCAUCUCAUCAACGCCUUCUUGCUCUCUAUCUCUCUCUUUUUCGCAUCCUUCUUAGUAUUGGCAAAAGCUCGUUGUCGUGCUCCGGCCAUGAAGACGACGAUGGCGGCGGCGGCGACCUGCCUCGUGGCGCUGCUGGUGGUGGUGCUCGCGGAGGCGGCCGGCGUGGGCUGCACCACCGUCGCCUACAAUGACCGCAGCCUGGUGAUCGACGGCGAGCGGCGCAUCAUCAUUUCAGGAUCUAUCCAUUACCCGAGGAGCACCCCGGAGGUAUAAUGAAAAUUAGCUAUGGAUAUAUUGAUCGCUAUGCGCAUGCAUGCAUGCAUGCAAAAAUACGUGUGAUUGUGGUAGGUCUUAGCCGUCUUUUGAUAUUGCAUGUACAUGAGAUGAGAUUAGUACGUGCGAUUUUGGUUUUGUUCUUCAUAUAUAUGCUAUACACCAAUCUCAAAGGAUCGCAUAAAAUCUAACAGUAGCCGUCAUUUAUAUCUACUGUAAUUAUUUCUUAUAGAUCACAUUUAUAUCUACUCUAGAUGUCUACAAAUUUAUAUUCUCUCAGUUUUUCUAGUCAUACACCCGCGCACAUCAUUAUUCUUUUUUUCACCAGUUGCUUGGCUCAUAACAUCGUUAUACAUAUGGUCGAAUAUGACUAACAGUACGUAUUUACUUAAGUAGAUUAAUCUUCGCAUCAUACUUUCACAGUACGUAUAAUAUCCUACUAGCGAUCGAUCGACUAUGAUAGAAUAUAUGACUAACAGUACGUAUUUACUUAAUUAGAUGAAUCUUCGCAUCGUACUUUCACAGUACGUAUUAAGUACUGACAUGAAGAUCAGUGUUAAUUAGCUAUACUUACAGGCUACUAUAUGUCGUAUUAAAUAGCCUAACCUCACCAUCUUUAUUUUCAUUGGUCUGUCGUAUUUCAAGGCUAGCUAGUAAAAAACUCAGAAAUCGUAUUUUCUUCUGACCUCAUAUAUAUUUCAUGAAUCUCAGAUACACACACAUGCCGGUAUAUAUAUAACUUAUAUAGUUAUACACUGGGAAGAUGAUCCCGGUGAGAAAAAAAAAUCAUUCCGAUAUGUAUACAAUUAAUAAUGAUAACUUUAUUUUCAAUUUAAAUGGAAAUUCUAGUUUUAUAUUUUGUUUUGUUAAUGUGGUAGUUUUUAAUUAUAAUUAAGAUCUGCUCAUGCUAAUACUGGGCCUGCCCUGGGGCAGUGUGAGCGGUGCAAUCGCACUGGGCCCCACGACUUCAUGGGCCCCCGGGCCCCGGCCAUGUACACAAUAAUACCUCUGCCUAGCCUGCACGGUCAAUACAAUUUACACAUAAAGCAGUAAAGCACAGAUUAUGUACAGGCACGUUAACGUUAGCAAAAACCAGGAAACCCAUCAGUUCUUGCGCAGUUGCGCCGCUGCUCAGGAAACAUCAUCGCUCGGCGUUGAAACCAUCUCCUUCCUCUCGAAGGCCUGGGCUCUCCUCUCAAUUGGCAAUCCUAAUUAAGCAAUUGGUCUCUCUGGGCUGCCAUUAAUUAAUCUCAUCCUGAAGCCUAUGUUCUAUUCUUAUAUUCUUAGUAGUAUCUUGAACACAAAAUUCAGAUAGAACUUCACUAAUUUCUUUUUGUUCUAUAGCUACUAGAGUUGACUGGUUGAGAUAGGAGCUUUAAGUGAAUAGGUUCCUUCUCAGUUCUUACGAUAUGUACGUAGUUAAUUAGUAUCUCUACAUCACAAUCUUCUUGGUUGAGUCAUUCCUCUUGCAGUCUUAACACUAACAGAUGACGUGCUCUUUAAUUUAUAGGGGACAUAUAAGAUAUUAUAAACUUAAAUAGUUUCAAUAUUUGAUGUAUUCCUUGUAUAGCGUUUAUACUAUUCAAUUAUCACCAAACGUUACUUUGUGCUUAAUGAUGUCUUAAAGUUCAACAUUUUUUCCUAUUUAAAAUAAAAAAAAUAUUUUACAUAUAUAUUUACUAGCUACUAGUAUUGUAGGGCCCUUUAUUUUUGUCUCGUACUAGGCCCUCAAAAUUUCAUGACUAGCCAAUGAUACACGUAUAUUUAUCAUGUUUCCCUCUGGUGCAGAUGUGGCCUGAUCUGAUUAAGAAAGCAAAGGAAGGUGGCCUUGACGCGAUCGAGACCUACGUCUUCUGGAACGGCCAUGAGCCCCAUCGCCGCCAGGUUAGUUCUGUCUCCGAUAAAAUAUGUAUACUGCUUUAGCUGUUACUGCUAUUUAUUUAGUAAGUAAUCGAAUAUGUAAAUCCACAGUAAAUAUUUUACGAUUUAAAACUAAGCUUAUGUAAUUCAAAGCAAGGCUGUUCCCCAUGUAUAUACCCCAUGUAUAUACGGAGGAGUACUAUUUAUUUAGUAAGUAAUCGAAUAUGUAAAUCUACAGUAAAUAUUGAUUAAAACUAAGCUUAUGUAAUUCAAAACAAGGCUGUUCCCCAUGUAUAUUAUUUAGAUGAAUUAAGCUUAGUUUAUACAUCCUUAUAUUCCAGGCUGUUCCCCAUGUAUAUUAUUUAGAUGAAUUAAGCUUAGUUUAUACAUCCUUAUAUUCCUUGCGUAUAGAUCGCAGUAUCGCUACUUGUAGCUUAUUUUGCAAACCCGAUUCUUGAUAUUUCUAACCAAUGCAUGAAACAAAGUAGUAUAAUCGAAAUUCUUGAUAUUUCUAACCAAUGCAUGAAACAAAGUAGUAUAAUAUAUGCCAUCUCCUACGAUGGGUCAUAUAGAAGUGACUAUAUAUUCAAACUAAGAAUAUAUGCCAUCUCCUACGAUGGGUCAUAUAGAAGUAACUAUAUAUUCAAACUAAGAAUAUAUGCCAUGUCCUACGAUGGGUCAUAUAGAAGUAACUAUAGUUCAAACUAAGAAUAUAUGCCAUCUCCUACGAUGUGUGCAUUUUGAAAAAUUUUAGCCUAUUCUAGCAAUGUUCUUCUGAUGACCUACGAUGUGUGCAUUUUGAAAAAUUUUAGCAUAUUCUAGCAAUGUUCUUCUCAUGACCUUCGUGAAAUGUUCUGAUAUAUAUGUAGUACAACUUCCUUCUCAUGACCUUCGUGAAAUGUUUUGAUGUAUAUGUAGUACAACUUGCCUAUUCUAGCAAUGUUUCUCAUGACCUUCGUGAAAUGUUAUAUAUAUAUAUAUAUAUAUACACGUAGUACAACUUACUUCUCAUGACCUUCGUGAAAUGUUUUGAUAUAUAUGUAGUACAACUUUGAGGGGAACUAUGACAUUAUCAGAUUUUUCAAGGAGAUCCAGAAUGCUGGCUUAUACGCUAUUCUUCGCAUCGGGCCAUACAUUUGCGGCGAAUGGAACUAUGGGUACAUAACUGUAUAUGCUCAAUUUUACACACGUUUGUGUGAUAGAUAAGGGAAUGUUGAAUACUAUUUCACUAGCACACUGCACUAAUCAUACUUUUUUUAAUCGUUUUCCUCAUAUGCAGAGGACUUCCUGCUUGGCUACGUGAUAUUCCACAAAUGCAGUUCAGAAUGCAUAAUGCGCCAUUUGAGGUAAUGGGUUAUAAUAAUAAAUUAAUUCAAACAUGUAUAUAUUCAUAUAUUAUGUAUAGCAAUUGAAAUUUUGAGCAAUUGUUUUGUUUCCUACUGAAUAGAAUGAGAUGGAAAACUUCACGACUCUCAUUAUCAACAAGAUGAAGGAUGCCAACAUGUUUGCUGGUCAAGGUGGCCCAAUCAUCCUGGCACAGGUGUGAUGCAUGCUAGCACCCUCGAUCUGUUGCCAAUAAUACAAGUUAUUCAAUUACAAAUGCAUUGCUUGUAUCUUUAUAUAUAUAUAGUACCGCUCUAUUGCCAAUAAUUUAAGUUAUUUAAUACAAAUGCAUUGCUUGUAUCUUUAUAUUAUAGAUCGAAAACGAGUACGGAAAUGUCAUGGGCCAACUGAACAAUAAUCAGUCUGCGUCUGAAUACAUCCAUUGGUGUGCGGACAUGGCCAACAAGCAGAAUGUCGGUGUCCCAUGGAUCAUGUGUCAGCAAGACAGUGAUGUGCCGCACAAUGUGGUGAGCAUGACUUUCAAUUUGUUUAAAAUAAUGUAUAAUGUUUGUAUGUGUUUAAAUUCUUUUAUUGAUUGUUUGAAAUUCAUGCCGUUGUUUCUUUUCCCGAUUAAUUUAGGUGAACACCUGCAACGGAUUCUACUGCCAUGAUUGGUUCCCAAAUAGGACUGGCAUCCCUAAGAUUUGGACAGAGAACUGGACUGGAUGGUAUAUAUAUAUUUAUAAUUUUCUUUCAUCACAUAUAUAUGUUUCUCUUCUAUUGUAAAAGAACUUUUUUAAUAUUCAAAUAUGAAUUGAAGCAUAUCUUUUGUGACUUUCAUUGAUUCGGAUUAGGUUUAAAGCCUGGGACAAGCCGGAUUUCCAUAGAUCCGCCGAAGAUAUUGCUUUCGCAGUUGCAAUGUUCUUCCAAAAGCGUGGUUCUCUCCAGAACUACUACAUGGUAUGUACUCUCAAUUUCUUGUGGCUUUCUCACAUAUAUAUAUAUAUAUCUCACAAUGAAUCGAACUAAUUGUUGCCAUCACACCAUUUUUACCAGUACCAUGGUGGAACGAAUUUUGGUCGCACCUCAGGUGGCCCGUACAUCACAACUAGUUACGACUAUGACGCACCUUUGGAUGAAUAUGGUGAGAAAUUAACAUACAACAUUUUGGGCUAUUUAAUUAAAUGCACAAUUAAUAAGCUAUAAAUCAUAGUAUAAUUCUGAUUUUCCUUUGGUUUACCUAUCAUAAUUAGGUAAUCUUCGGCAGCCGAAAUAUGGCCACUUGAAGGACCUCCACUCUGUGAUCAAGUCCAUUGAGAAGAUUCUUGUCCAUGGGGAAUAUGUUGACGCCAACUACAGUGAUAAUGUCACAGUAUGAUUCAUGCCAUACUUUCGCAGAAUUUCCCUAACAGAUUCAAGUUUUCUAGCAAACUGAUACAUGUGGUUCACAUUGAUAAUUUCUUUUCAACAUAUCUGAUGCAUUAUGAUCACUUAUUUUCUAAAGGUUACCAAGUACACCUUGGGCUCCACCUCAGCUUGUUUCAUCAACAACCGGAAUGACAACAAAGAUCUUAACGUAACCCUUGAUGGAAACACUCACCUUCUGCCUGCUUGGUCUGUGAGUAUCUUGCCUGACUGCAAGACCGUUGCCUUCAAUAGCGCCAAGGUAUUUUUCCAAUCAUUAUUGAAUUCUGACUAUAUAAUUUGAUUGAUGCAGGAUCUAUGAUACUACACUAUUGUUACAAGCUAAUUGUUAAGAUUGUUUUUUCUUUCGUUUUUUUUUUGGAACAAUUAGAUCAAAGCCCAAACGACUAUCAUGGUAAAGAAGGCUAACAUGGUAGAGAAGGAGCCAGAGAGCUUGAAAUGGUCAUGGAUGCGUGAAAAUUUGACGCCCUUCAUGACUGAUGAGAAGGGAAGCUAUAGGAAGAAUGAGCUCUUAGAGCAGAUCGUCACAUCAACUGAUCAAAGUGAUUACUUGUGGUACAGAACAAGGUAUUGGCCAAAAAAACAUUUUUAUUGCAACUUUUACAUGAUAAGAAGCAUUUUUAAUGUUAACUUAUUAUUGAAUAAUAUGCUGCCUAAUUUUGACACAUAAAAUGAAAUGCAGCCUUGACCACAAGGGUGAGGCGAGCUACACUUUGUUCGUGAACACAACAGGGCAUGAACUAUAUGCCUUUGUGAAUGGAAUGCUUGUUGGUAAGUAGCUAGUUAAAUUUAGCUUCUUGCACAACAUAACAAUUCGUGGUAAUUUUCUCAUUGAGAUGUUAACUAUCAAUCUGGUUGGCAGGUAAAAACCAUUCUCCAAAUGGACACUUUGUUUUCCAGCUUGAGUCAGCAGUAAAGCUUCAUGAUGGAAAGAACUACAUUUCUCUUUUGAGUGCUACCAUUGGUCUAAAGGUUUCUAAUAUAUUUACUAAACAGUUCAUUAAAAGCCUGUCACUAUAUUUUUUGUAUAUGUGUUGUUGUGUAUGAUGAAAGAUAUUUGUUCAAUGUCAAACAGAACUAUGGCCCUUUGUUUGAGAAGAUGCCUGCUGGCAUUGUUGGAGGACCAGUUAAGUUGAUUGACAACAAUGGCACAGGGAUUGAUCUCUCCAACAGUUCCUGGUCAUAUAAGGUGCACAAAAUCUCUAUCAAUUGUCAAUUAUUACUAUUUAAUUAUCAACUAUAUUUCUAUGGAUAUUUUUAAGACUUUUGAUGACGUAUGUUAUUAGGAAAUAUACCAGCAAAUUUUUCCCUUGAUUCAAUAGAUUGUUUAGAUUAAUUAAUACUCGUCAUCUUACCACUUUAGUUACCUCCUAAGAGAUAAGUGGAGCACCCUAAAUAUAUGUUUCUAUUGAUUGUAAUAUUACUUUGAUUUUCUAUUUCUAGGCUGGCUUGGCAGGUGAGUAUAGGCAGAUCCACCUGGACAAGCCCGGUUACAGAUGGGACAACAACAAUGGCACCGUCCCUAUCAACAGGCCCUUUACGUGGUACAAGGUAUUAUAUAGGUUGAUAUGUAUUAUCCAUAUUGUAUUGAGCUACGAAAUAGAAGUAAUUCCCUUGUUUUAUUUUUCUAUUUAGACUACCUUCCAAGCUCCAGCCGGUCAGGACACGGUGGUGGUGGACCUCCUAGGGCUGAACAAGGGCGUGGCAUGGGUGAACGGGAACAACCUUGGCCGUUACUGGCCAUCAUAUACAGCGGCGGAGAUGGGUGGCUGCCAUCACUGCGACUACCGCGGAGUUUUUCAGGCUGAGGGCGAUGGACAAAAAUGCCUCACGGGAUGCGGUGAGCCGUCGCAACGGUACUAUCAUGUUCCACGCUCCUUCCUCAAGAAUGGCGAGCCCAACACACUCAUUCUCUUCGAGGAGGCCGGCGGCGACCCUUCACAGGUCAUCUUCCACUCUGUCGUGGCAGGCUCUGUGUGCGUGUCCGCUGAGGUUGGGGAUGCCAUCACACUAUCCUGCGGUCAACACAGCAAAACCAUCUCGACCAUCGACGUGACCAGCUUUGGUGUUGCGCGUGGUCAGUGCGGCGCCUAUGAGGGUGGGUGCGAGUCCAAGGCUGCGUACAAGGCUUUCACAGAAGCUUGCCUUGGGAAGGAGUCAUGCACAGUGCAAAUCAUUAAUGCUCUCACCGGCUCCGGGUGCCUCUCCGGCGUCCUCACCGUCCAAGCCUCAUGUUGAUGCAUUAUUGGGGUCUAAUAAUUAGAUUUGGUUUGUUUAGAUUAUGCUCUAGGAAAACCUGGUGCAUGUAUUAAGUUCAAUAUUAAACUAGAGUCUUAUAUAUGUGAGUUAAAUUGGAGUGUGAUCAAGUAAUCUUAGAUUGUGUGAUAUUGGAACAAUUUGCAUCUAUAUAGUAUUUUUGUGAGUGAAAAAAUUAUUGUCUUUACUUUGUUUCGUGGAAUUAAAGAAUAUUUUUUGGGGGUUUAUAAUUUUGUAAGGGUAGUUAUUUCUGCUAUUUCACUAUUAAAAUAGAUUCCUAUAAAAAAAAUUCCUAUAUACCCAGUUCAAAAAGUUCAAAAGAGUAAUAUAAUAAGAAUCACCAACAGCAUACGUACAUGGCCCCUAAUCUCAGGUUUUGGCGGAUUUUUGCUAAAACCACAAUCCAACAGAUUCCCUACUCGCAUGUGCCGAUCUACGAAUUCCCUACUCCAGAUUUUUCGCUCUCCACAUCUAGAGAAUUGAUUUGGCUUCCAAUCGCCUAAUCCAGCACAUUCGCGCAGAGGAGGCGAAAUGUUCCCAUCCAGCUCAUCAUCUUCGCGCCCUCGUUCGCGGCAUCAUCUUUGCGCCCUCGUUCGCCGUGAGGUCGUUCCUCUGUUCCACUGCCAGCGUCCUCUUCCUUGAAGGCGACUGGAAUGCCGUCAUCGCUCCCCCAAGCUUCUUUGGCGUCAGCUUUCUUUCCGGGGGCGACACAUGCUAUCUGAUUGCUAUGGCGGUGCUAGGCAGAGGACAACAACGCUGUCACGGGUUUCCCAAGCGUGAGCGCCGUCUCAAUUCCGGCCGCCGCCUCGGUUCAGCCUGAAUCGGUCUGUCACCCCAACAGCUGCUGAAAUUGCUGCUGCAGCUGUGAGAUGCUGCUGAAAUUGCUGGUGCUGCUGAAAUUUUGCAAGGGCAGCAGCUGCUGCUGUGUGCUGUCACGGGGAGGGCGAUUGGCGGUGGGGAGAGGGGCGAGAGGAAGCGGCGCUGCUUGGGUACCGCCAAGGGGAAUCGCGAUCACGAGUGCCGUAUAAACGAAAAACGAAAAAAAAUAUGUUGGUGGUUCAACAGAAGGGUCCACUUUUUAAGUUUUAGGAAUUAGAUUUAGGUGUUGUGUUGAAAAGAUCAGUUUUUCAACUUCCUAUUUUCAGUUUAGGAAACCAAAAACAUUUUUUUUUUGAAGGAGAUUAUACGAGGACUGUUGGUGAUGCUCUAAGAAGGAAGAUAAUUUUAGAGUUCUCUGUAGUCAUCUAUCCAUUUUAAUUGAAAUGUAGUAUGAGUCGUCUCACCAAGUUGGCUCUAGCUUAAUUAGGCUCUCAACUUUUUUUUUUGUGACCUCAGCAAAAAAACCUAUAUUUUGAGUAUGGAAGUUUCUAGCAUCUAUGCCUUGAGGAUUGUCGUUCUGCAUGCCGCAAGCUAGGCUUUGAUUGAAAUGUUGUUGAUCUGAAUGAUAUCGCAGCUUCAUUGUACGGUAAAGAUAAUUACCGUACAAGGGUUAUUAUUGCAAAUUGAAAAUCGGAAGAUAAUUAAGUAACAAGUGUCAACAGUACGGCAGCUACAAAACGUCCUAUACUACACAAAAGCAAAGAAGCAAAUCAAACUUGUUGCUACGUAUGUUCCUGUAGUCUUCAUAAGCAGGGAGUCUUAACUUCACAUUUACGUACACUUACACCUUACUGAUUGAUGGUAAAGCGUGGUCAAUCCAAAUGUUCUGAAAAUGACAAAAAAAAAAGACCUGAAUUAACUAGUUUACGGAAAGAGUAAUUAGAUCACAAGCUAGCCUGCUCGUUAGUUUACAUUCCUACUUGUCAGGCAUGACAAACAUCACUAAAAAAAAAUAGUCGCAAUCUACCCUGAUCCAUUGCAACGGCCGAUGGGCAUCGAGCAAGCACAUAGCAGCAGUAGAAUACCCAAGGAAAAAGUACACCGAAGGUGCCUCAACCUGUCAUCGAGUUACAAAAUUAUCCCUAAACCACAAAAUCACAUAUAGAGAAGAUCCCUCAACUUAUAAAAUUGUUCACUUUAAGUCCUUUAGUGGUUUUGACCCUGGUUUUAUUUGACGUGGCGGCUAAGUCAGUGUGGGACCCACGUGAGCCCCACAUGUCAGGGUGUCCAUGUCAACACCCUCUCUCUUUCCCCUCUUCUCUCCCUUCCUCCUCUCCACUCUCUCUCUCUCUCUCUCUCACUUUUAUCCUAAUUUGGGGCAGGCCGGCCGGUGGGUGGGGAGGUCGCCGAGGCGAGGCAGGAGAGGAGAUCUGUUGACUGGCGAUGCGGCGGCGGCGGCGGCUGUGACGUUGGGGAAGGGAGGCGACUCGCGGCAGCGGCCGGCGAAUCGGCGGCGGUGGUGGCGACGACACGGGAGAAGGGAGAGCGUCAUCGCGUGUGCGACCUCGGUGUCGAACCAUAGGAGAGGCCCGGGAGGUGUCGGCGGUGGUGGCGGCUGCGACGCGGGAGAAGGGGAUGGUGUCACCGCGCGGGCGAGCUAGAGGCUGAAUAUCCCUGUGGCAGCGAGGUAAGCGACCUCGACGGCAUUGCGCCUGCUGUCGAUGACCCACGUGAGCGCGCACUCGUCUUCGCCAUCCUCAAGCUCCACCUCCCAGCACUCACCCACGACGCCCGCUGCAUGCCCGCGUCGUUUCCGCCUCGCUGCCGCCUCCCCGGAGGAGCCAAGCCUCAGAUGGUGAUGGCGACGGCGAGGUGGCUCGAGGGCGCCGUGACGACAAGCAGCAGGGAUGGGGAGAGAGAGGAUACCGUUGUCGUUGUGUCGCCCAUCGCCAUAGGGGGAGGCCCUCUCCUCCCUUCCCCCACCUCAUCCCCGCCAUCACUGGAGGAGCCAAGCCUCAUAUGGGGAUGGCGACGACGAGGUGGCUUGAGGGCGCCGCGACGACGAGCAGUGGGGAUGAUAGAGUGAGGACACCGCCAUCAUCGUGUCGCCCGUCGCCAUGUGGGGAGGCCCUCUCCUCCCUUCCCCCAGCUCAUCCCCGCUGCCGCCGGAGGAACCAGGCCUUGGGAUUGGUAUGCCGACAGCAAGGUGGCCUAGGGAUGCCACGGCGAUGAGCAGCGGGGAGGGGGAGUGCGACAGGAGAGCGAGGACACCGCUGUCGCCGUGUCACCCGUCGCCAUGGGAGGAGGUCCACCUGCUCCCGCGUUGUCAUCGCCGACGCUGCCACCGCCGCGUCGCUCGUCGUCGGUCGCCGAACGUUGGACCUCCUUCUCUCCCGCCUCAGCUAGCUGGCCUCCUCCCCACCCACCGACCGGCCUGCUCCACAUGAGGAUAAAAGUGAGAGAGGAGGAACGGAGAGAAGAGAAAGAGAAAGAGGGUGCUGACGUGGACACCCUGACAUGUGGGGCCCACGUGGGUCCGACGCCGUCUCAGCCACCACGUCAGACAAAACCGAGGUCAAAACUGCCUGAGGACGCAAAGUGACCCAGUUUCGUAAGUUGAGGGAUGACAUAUAUUUGGUUUAAUAGGUGGGGGACGAUUUUGUAACUUGAUGACAAGUUGAGGGACCUUCGGUGUACUUUUUCCAAUGCCCAAUAUCAUAGGGGAAGCCGACAGUAAGAAUGGUGUCUCCUGGAGUGGAUUGGUGGGCGCUUGGAGGCUCAAGCGGUGGCAGUUGAGGCGGGGACAGGCUGCCAGCUCUGGACAUCACAUGAAUGUGUGUUGGCACUCUUUAUGCUCAGGAAAAAUAGUCCACAAGUGAAUGAGAACCGCUCAAGUUUUCAACCUAGAGUAUUCCACGGUAUCGAAUCAACGAGAAAUAAAAUGUAUACUUAUGUUUCCAGGACUAAGCCAAGAGUGUAGUUUUAAUUUGAGAGGAUCCUCUAGCCUAAAUGACUUACUUGGGCUUCAUGUCACUACGCCUAAAUGAGCUAACUAUUCAGUACAAAUACUUUGUUGUGCUUGCUUAAGGCAUAAGAGUAUUCAUCAAAGAAUGGGGUGAACACUUAUCACCCAAUUUAUAUGAAUGUUACUAGGGCUAAUGUGGUAGACCUCAAUGGAUAGCCAUGGUUGUCACCACCUGGCUGGCUACGUCCUUUGUUGCUCUAACCUGCCUUCCUAGACAAAACUAUGCCGAUCACCACAACCAUACAUGGAAUUACUAUUCAACUUAUUUGCAAUCAUAAGCAAUGCAACCAACACAAACAAAGAAUGGAUACUUUAGGUAAAAUAGACUAGGAACCAACAAGCAAGCAAGUUACUAAUAACAUGCUAUCCGAUCAAAAAGACUAAAAGUUUACUCCCGUGGAGCCGCAUCUUUGAGGAACAAGUCAGACGAGGAGCUCACUUCCCUGUCUCCUAUGAACUUCUUCCUCACCCACUCUCAACUCUAUUCUACAAUUUUGGCAGCAUGAGGCAUUCUCCUUGAGCUGAUCUCCACUCCAAGUGUUAUCGAUAUCCUUUUUCAAAGUGUACUAGUAGGAGGGGCUAUUAGCAGCCAAAUGAGGGUAGGUCUAUGGCUGGCCAGUCGGCUCAAUAAAAGGGGUGCUGGGGAGGGGGGGAGGGGGGCUGGCACCACCUUAUGUUAGUGGUUGGCCGGUCAACAAGGGUGACUGGCUGGUCGGUUCAUGGACAGCUAAGAUCAUUCCCCUGAGCCAGUUGUAAGUUGGUUAGCAGUCGUUGGAGAGUCGACAUGUGUUGGCAGCUGUUAAAUACCAAUUUUGUGCCGCCAAUACCUGCAUAAAUAUGAAAUUAUGAAACAUUCAACAUAGUGAUAGGGUUUAAUUGUAACAAUUUCCACGAGUGUUGGUGUAUAUUUGUAUGCAGGUGACAAACUACCAACAUUGAGAAGAAAUAUACAUAAAAGUGGAGGAGAAUUUCAUCCAUUGAGUCUUGGGCCCGCAAACUCAUCGAAAUACUAGAAACUGGGCCCAAAGAAUAUCAUUGGGCCAAGGAGUCAAUUGUCAGGGCCUAGGAGGAAGCCCACUGCCAGGGGAGCUGGCCAGGGGUCAGGCGACCUCUGGGUUCGGCAGACUCCGGCCUGGCCCAGCCCAAGUACAACCGCCCAUGACAGGUAUGACCAACUUCUCUAUGGCGGCUGUGAUUGGUAUUGAUGCUCCUAACUGUAGGAUCGAAACACAAUAACUAAGCCAACCAGAGGGGGUUGAAUGGUUGGUAUAUCCAAAAACCCAAACUUUUUGCGGAAUAGAAGGUUACCCUCAAAUUCGAUGUAGAUCAGUCUGAUCGGAGUAGUCCCGGUUGGAGGAAUUCUGAAGUUCUCGGUACUUUCCUCUUUUCUUUUUGUACAUUGUCAAUUACUUUGCUUUAAUAUAUAAUAUCUUUAUCGAAUAAUUGAGAUUUACUUUGUGCGGUUUAUUUCUUAGUUCCAUUAACGUACCGGAAUAUUGUGCACUAGAAUUAGUGUUUAAUUUAAUGUUUGAUCGACAUUAGAGUAGUAUUUAAAUAGUAUAGACAUAGUAUCUAUAUGUCAUAGCCUGAAUUUCCAUUUCAGGAUUUAUAAAUUAUUUAAUAUAUUAUUCUUAGAAUUUAUAUUAAAAUUUCAUUAAUUUACAAGUGAAGUUAAAUGUGGGAACUAAAAUUUCCUAAAUAUAAAGCAUGGCUGGACUUAAUUUUUAUUAAAUUCUCCAUGAUUAAUUGUACUCUCUGGAAUUUUCUCAGAUUUUUUCAUAGCUCAAUUCCUAAGUUUAAUAAUACAAAGAACAUUUAAGAAAUUAUUUAAAUAAUAAAUUAUUCAUUAAAUGAUCUGGUUUUAAUUUUAUCAAAUACUUUGAGUGCCCAAUUAUUUUCAGAAUUUUUAUUGAAUUAUUUGAGCAUUGAAAAUAUUUUUAGCAAUUCAAAGAUUAUUUCGGUGAUUAAUUUAAUUAGAAAAGUAAUUAAAAUCAACUUUUCCUUUUCGGGCCGAAUUAGGAAAAGUCCUCUCACUCUUUGCCCAAUCUCCUCUCGGCCUGGAGCCCUCUCCCUCUCUCUCCAUCGGCGCUGGCAUGAAGUCCCCACUAACCGUCUUCGACCGCGCAGCCAUGGACUUGUACGUCCCUUCCGUCUACGCCUGGAACACCGACGCCAGUGGUGCGGAGGCGCCUUCCAACGACAAGAUCAAGAACAGCCUCGCCGCCGUGCUUGCCAGGUUUCCUCACCUUGCCGGGAGGUUCUUCGGCGUUGACGAGCACGGCCGGAGGUACUUCGACCUCAACGACGCUGGGGCUCUCGUCCUCGAAGCCACAGCGUCCGCCAGCCUUGCCGACGCUUUGUCGCACGACGUCCCCGCGCACGUCAACGAGCUCUACCCCAAGGCCGACAAGGUAGUUUACCAAAAUGGCAACAAGUAGCAUAGGCAUAAUUAGCUAGCUCUAAUAAAUUAUGUGUACUCCUGUGGAAAGUAAGCUAGUACGUAACAACGUUCAAAAUGAUAUCGAGCUGGAUUAUGACACGAAUAUAUGCUUGGUGUUAGGAAACGAUAGACGAACAAACGAUAAAGAACAAUAGAUCAAUCAUAGAAGACACGAGAUUUAACGUGGAAAACCCUCCCAAAAAUAGGAGAGAAAAAACCACGGGCGGCAGCCAGCAAAAUAUCUUCACUAUAUCUGAGGUGAGGUUACAUCGCCGCACGGCGGCUUACAAGAGGUAUAUAUACAGUGGAACCCUAAAAGGGAUGACAAUCCAUACGGACCCUAAAAGGGAGGCUACGGCAGAAGCUGGCCUUUAUUAAGUGCAAAUGAAUUUGGAUCAAAACUCAACAAACUCCACCUUGAGACAAAUUCCUUCUUGUAGUAUGAAUCAAUCCUUCACCCUAAACACAACAAAGACAAAAAAACACUUUCGGCGCCAAAUAGCCUCUCAGGCUAAACCACUAUACCAACUAAGCUUGAGCAAAGCUCAAACUUAGCAACAGUUUCAGACUUUGUCAUCAUAUCAGCAGGAUUAUCAUGAGUACCUAUCUUGCAUACCUUUAGCUUACCUUACGCGACUACAUCGCAAACAUAAUGGUACUUGAUAUCAAUGUACUUUGUCCUCUCAUGAAAUAUUUGAUCUUUGGUGAGGCAUAUAACACUUUGACUGUCACAAAACAAGUUAAUGUAAGAAUCAACUCUACAAAGCUCAGCAAACAAUCCUUUCAGCCAAACUGAUUCUUUACAUGCUUCAGCAAUAGCCAUGUAUUCUGCUUCAGCGGUAGACUGGGCAACAACAGGCUGCAAUGUUGCCUUCCAACUCACAGCACAACUACCAAUGGUAAACACAUAACCUGUGAGUGACCUUCUCUUAUCCAAAUCUGCAGCAAAAUCUGAAUCCACAUAUCCAACAAGCCCCUUAUCAGUCCUGCCAAACUUCAAGCAAGCAUCAGCUGUGCCUCUGAGGUACCUGAAAAUCCACUGAACAGCUUUCCAGUGUUCUUUACCAGGAUUAGCCAUGUAUCUACUAACCAAACUCAUAGCAUGAGAUAAAACUGGACGGGAGCAAACCAUGGCAUACAUCAAAGAACCAACAACACUAGAAUAUGGAACUCUAGACAUGUAUUCUACAUCCUCAUCAGUACUAGUACAUUGUAAAGCUGAUAAUUUAAAAUGAGGUGCAAUAGGAGUGCUAACAGGCUUUGCAUCAUGUAUGUUAAAACGCUGAAGAACCUUCUUAAUGUAGCUUUGCUGACUAAGAAAUAACAAACCAGAAUUUAUGUCUCUAGUGAUUUCCAUACCUAGAAUUUUCUUAGAAGCAACAAGAUCCUUCAUAUCAAACUCACUACUCAAUUGUUUCUUCAAUGUAGUGAUUUGUUCCUUGCUCUUGGCAGCAAUCAGCAUAUCAUCAACAUAUAACAGCAAGUAUAUAUGUGAUCCAUUAACAAAUUUAAUAUACACACAGCUAUCAAAUUCAGACCUCUUAAAGCCAUGUGACAACAUAAAGGAAUCAAACCUUUUAUACCAUUGUCGAGGAGACUGUUUCAAACCAUACAAAGAUCUUUUCAACUUGCAAACAUCAUCCUCCUUACCAGGUACUAUAAACCCUUCUGGCUGGUCCAUGUAUAUCUCCUCCUCAAGCUCUCCAUGUAAAAAUAUUGUCUUCACAUCUAACUGCUCAAGCUCAAGAUCAUGCAUAGCAACAAUACAGAAGAAUGUGCGAAUUGAACUAUGCUUUACAACUGGAGAGAACACAUCAUUAUAAUCAACGCCAGCAAUUUGACUGAAACCUUUUGCUACUAACCUUGCAUUAAACCUCGGAGGCCCGCUAGGAGAUAAACCCUCCUUUCUCUUGAAGAUCCAUUUACAAUGAACAGGCUUCUUCUGUUUUAGCAAGUGCACAAGCUCCCAUGUGCCAUUCUUCUCAAGAGACUGCAUCUCCUCCUGCACAGCUUCAGUGUAUGUGGCUGGCUCAAGAGUAUUCUCCACCUGUUCAGCACAACUAAAAGCAUAAUAAACCAUAUCACAUUCCUCAAUAAGGCGGACUGGAGCUCCACAACUCCUCUUUGUUCUGCGAUGUGCAAUAGGUUCAUCUUGUGGCUGCAAAACAGGAGGUGAGUGCUGAACAGUAUCAUUAACAUCAUUACUAACAAUUUCAGUUUCCUGAUCAUCCACGUGCUCCACCUGCACGCUAACAUAUUGCUGCUCCUCAUCUGAACCACCUGGUAUGACAUCUAUGGGCAAGCUGUCAUUAAACAUAACAUAUUUAUUGAAAACAACACUCCUUCUCAUGAAGGUCUUAUUAGUUUCAGGAUUCCAUAACUUAUAUCCUUUUACUCCUGAACCAUAACCAAGAAACAGACCUGAGCUCUAGGCUCUAAUUUUCCAUUAUCAACAUGAGCAUAAGCAGUGCAUCCAAAAACUCUCAAUUGUGAAUAAUCAGCAGGCAUACCAGACCAUACCUCAAUGGGAGUUUCCUUAUUAAGUAGGAUAGAAGGCGACCUGUUGAUCAAGUAGCAGGUGGUGUUAGCAGCCUCUGCCCAAUAAUGCUUGUUCAUGCGAGCGUUGGACAGCAUACAACGAGCCUUGGAGAUGAUGGUUCUAUUCAUGCGCUCAGCCACACUAUUCUGCUGUGGAGUGUACGGGAUGGUGUGAUGCCUACCGAUGCCUUCCUUCCUGCAGUAAUCAUCAAAAGCAUCCGAACAGAAUUCACCACCAUUGUCAGUGCGAAGUACUUUUACCUCCUUUUCAGCUUGCCUUUCUAUCAUGACUUUCCACUCUUUAAAAGCAGCAAAUGUAUCAUCUUUAUGUUUCAAGAAAUAAGGCCACACUUUUCUAGAGUAAUCAUCAAUAAUGGUAAGCAUAUAACAAGCGCCACCAAGAGAGGGCUUACGAGAAGGCCCCCACAAAUCAGCAUGUACAUAAUCAAGUAUACCUUUGGUGCGAUGAACUGAGGUAUUGAAUUUUACCCUCUUGUGCUUACCAAAAACACAGUGCUCACAGAACUUCAUGUUACCUUGAGUGCAGCCAUCCAACAGGUUCCUCUUCAUCAAUUCUGCCAUACCAAGUUCACUCAUAUGUCCAAGACGCAUAUGCCACAGGUUAGUCUUACUAGGUUCAUCUUUAGAAACAGCAGCAGCGGUAAGAGAACCAUGUAAUGUACUUCCUCUAAGGACAUAUAAGUUUGCAGAAUUCAUAUCACCAAUCAUAUAAACAAGAGAACCUUUCGAUACCUUUACAACUCCACCUGAACCGGAGUAUUUGUAUCCUUCUGCAUCAAGUGUGCUGAGAGAGAUGAGAUUUCUCGCCAUCCCUGGUAUGUGUCUCACAUCUUUCAGCGUGCGUGUCAUGCCAUCAUGUGUCUUGAUCUGAACGGAGCCAAUGCCCAUGAUCUCACGUGGGUUAUUAUCUCCCAUGCGCACAACAUCUCCAUUCUGCACAGACUUGUGAGAACUAAACCAAUCUCUAUUAAUGCAGAUAAGAAACAAACAUGCAGUAUCAAGUAUCCAUUCAUCAUGACUAGCAACACAACCAGCAAAAAAGACAAGACAAUCUGCUGAAUCAGAGUUUUCAGCACUGGUAACAACAGAGGCCUUACCAUCAGAUUUCCUUUUCUCCUUAUUUUGCAGCUUCCAACAUUCUUCAAUGAAGUGAUUUUUCUUUUUGCAAUACUUACAGAACUUUUUACCUCUGGACUUAGAACGGCCUCUACUCUGGCUCUUGUCACGAUCAUUGCUGUCGUUGUAGGUUCUUUGCUCAGAUCUGCCUCUGACCUGCAAUGCUUUGCCCUUAGAGGAAGACGCAUCAGACUGAACCAUACCUUUCAUCUUCUCCCUGUUUUGGAGCGCCUCAUAAACUUCCGCUAGGGUUAGUUCAUCACGGCUUAAAAGUAUGGUGUCACGAAAAUUUGCAUAUAAACUAGGCAGUGAGCAUAACAGUAAAAGACCUAAAUCUUCAUCAUCAAACUGUACCUCCAUCGACACUAGGUCGGCAAUGAUCUCCUUAAAGACCGAUAUGUGGUUCAACACAGAACCACUCUCCUGCAACUUGUGCGAGAACAACUUCAUCUUGAUAUGCAUCUUACUGGUUAGAUCUUUAGACAUGCAGAUCGAUUCCAGUUUGAACCAAAGUUCUGCAGCAGUCUUUUCCUGCAACACUUUUUGCAAAAUAUCAUUAGAUAGAUGAAGUUGGAUCAACGACAGAGCCUUACGAUCUUUCCGCUUCUCCUCAGCAGUCCACUCAGUCGUUUUCUUCUUCCCGAAGCUUUCCAGGGCCUCAUCAAGAUCCGAAGUUUGCGCCAGAACAGCCCGCAUCUUUACUUGCCACAGCGAGAAUCUCGUCUUGUAGUCUUGCAGCGGUAGAUCAUACUUCAUCGCGAAACCCUAAUCUGAGAACAAGCUCUGAUACCAAUUGUUAGGAAACGAUAGGCGAACAAACGAUAAAGAACAAUAGAUCAAUCACAGAAGACACGAGAUUUAACGUGGAAAACCCUCCCAAAAAUAGGAGAGAAAAAACCACGGGCGGCAGCCAGCAAAAUAUCUUCACUAUAUCUGAGGUGAGGUUACAUCGCCGCACGGCGGCUUACAAGAGGUAUAUAUAUGGUGGAACCCUAAAAGGGAUGACGAUCCAUACGGACCCUAAAAUGGAGGCUACGAUAGAAGCUGGCCUUUAUUAAGUGCAAAUGAAUUUGGAUCACAACUCAACACUUGGUACGUUGCAGGAGCGUGCCGACGAGCCGCUGUUGCAGGUGCAGCUGACACGGGACACGUGCGGCGGGCUGGUGAUCAGUGUCACUGCCCACCACCAUGUCGCCGACGGCAAGUCCAUGAGCGUCUUCUUCGUCGCGUGGGCGGCAGCCGUGCACACCCGUGAGACCCUCCUCCCGACGCCGUUCCAUGACCGUGGGGUCGUCGUCGUGCCGUCUCGCCUGCCGCAGCCGGCGUUCGACCACCGGAACAUCGAGUUCAACGGCGGCGAGCACGGCUAGAACAACUCCUACGGCGCCCUCCCAUUGCACAGGAUCGGGAACUUCUCCGUGCACUACCCCGAGGAGUUCGUCGCCCGGCUCAAGGCCCGGGUGGGCACGCGGUGCAGCACGUUCCGGUGCCUCCUGGCGCACGCGUGGAAGAUCACGGCGGUGCGGGGCCUCUCGCUAGAGGAGUUCACGCAGGGUCAGGAUCGCGGUGAACUGCCGUGGCUGUGCUAGCCCAGCGGUGCCCAUGGACUACUUCGGCAACAUGGUGCUCUGGGCGUUCCCGAGGAUGCGGGUAAGAGACCUCCUCUCCUCCAGCUACGCCACGGUGGUCGGCGUCAUCAGCGACGCUGUGGCGCGCGUCGACGAGCGGUACAUCCUAUCGUUCAUCAACUUCGGGGAGGUGGCCGCCGGUGAGGAGCUGAGUACACCGACGGCGGCGAAGCCCGCACGGUGCUCUGCCCGGACCUUGAGGUGGACAGCUGGCUAGGGUUCCGGUUCCAUGAGCUCGACUUCGGCUGUGGGCCGCCGUGCGCAUUCCUGCCACCCGAUGUGCCCGUCGAGGGGAUCUUGAUGAUCUUCGUGCCGUCAUGCGCGGCGAAGGGUGGCAUUGAGAUGUUCGUGGCGCUCGACGACAGCCACGUCAAGGCCUUCAGCCAGAUAUGCUACUCCAUGGACUGAUCACAAUUUUCAUCAAUGGAUGCAUUUGGACUAUUUGCCAUCUUCUCCAAUACCACACUCCCAAAUGCCAUCUUCCCAAAAAAAACUUGAAUAAAUUGCCAUUGGUCCCCCUACAUUAGUUGAUUUCAUGCCAUUUUGGUCUAUUAUUGACGCUACAUCAGCAGCCACCUCAUGACACUAUAAAAAAAUGACAUUGAUACCCCUGCCCUUUCAGUCCAAAUUUAACACAGCCGACAGCAAAUAAAACAUAGCCAACUUAACUGAUAGAUGCACAAUAAUUUCACAAGCAAACACAGCUUCGAACAUACAAACAGAACUUGCAAACGCUAGACAGAUCAAUCUAAAAAAAAGAAUAACAGGAAAAAAUUCGAUGCCAAACCAAAGAGAGGGAAAGACGAAGGAUAUAUUGUUCUUUUACCUGGGAUUGUAUCGUCAUUUGGCCACCGCCGGCAGAGUCGCUGGAGCCAGCGACGCGAAGUCGGACGAGGAGUAGGGACGCAAAGCCUGGAGCAGGGAGCGAUACAAAUAUCGGAGUUUUUCUCAUACUCCUAGUGAGCAAGGGCAAAACAGGGAUUUUGCCCCAUCCAAAGCAGAAGUAGCAUAAAAAAAGGAAUAAAAUGGCUGGGAAUCAACAUAUAUAUCUGGUGGCAAUUUAUCUAAACUUUUUGGGAAGAUGGCAUUUGAGAGUGUGGCAUUGGAGAAGAUAGCAAAUAGUUAAAAAUCUCUUAAUUAGGGGCGGAUCCAGGAACAAAAAGUUAGGGGGCUCAACAUAUCGAGUACACCAGUAUAAAUACAUUAUGUCUAGGGUUUAAUCAUUCGGUUUAGUGUUUUGUAUCGGUGGCGGCCGCAAUACUGGAAUUUAUUUCGGAAAUUUCAGUUCGAAAUUAUACGAAUUUUUGAAUAAAAUUUGACCAAAUUUGAACAAAAUAUUACAAAAAUCAUGAAAAAAUGAAAAAAAAUAAAAAAAUUGACCGAAAUAGUAUCAUAUCGGGGGUCCAAUAAAAUCGAUCGAUCCAAAAUUGUGAACCCAGAUCAUUCUAAUAUAAGAUUACAAUACCACAACAGUACAUUGUAAUUGUAAGAGGUUUUAUAUGAAAACAUUGAGAAAUAAUACGAAAAACAUCACAACUUCACAAGACAAUUGAUUGGUUUGCGCAUUCCUGGAUCACUAAUAAUAUCGGAGCAACAGAACUUCACCCUUGCCAUUAUUUGUUCCAUUCACAUCAUCCUCUGCAUUAGGAGUACUGCUACCUGCUGCCACUUGAAUAAUAGUUGAACAUGUAAAACAGCGAAAGUGAGAUGGGUUGAACGUCGCCCUUUGUUUCGGUGCGACGGCUGCGUGUUAUAUUGGCGCACCAAUCGGCGCUGAGAUUACAGGAUUAUAUAGCCUCUAAUCUAGCCGAGAUUUGAUCUAAAGGAUAUACAUCUUAUCUAAACUAACAAUCUAAAUCUCAGCUAGAUCAGUUAGGCAAGAUAUACAUUAAUACAUGCAUGUUGUUUAACACUCCCCCUCAAUCUAAACUUCUAAGGUUGAGAUUGUGCCGAAACAGCUUUAAUUGUCUCUCUGUUAAGGACUUUGUAAAUCCAUCCGCAAAUUGAUCUUCUGUCAUAUAGACAACCUGCCCAAUCUGCAUCAGUGAAACCAUUAACAAGAAAUGAAGGAGAUUUAGUAAUCUUAAGACCUAGCUUUGUUGUUUGCUGGAGAUAUCUCAGGAUUCUCUUUACAGCUGCCCAAUGAACUGUGGUAGGAGCAUGUAGAUACUGGCACACCUUAUUUACUGAGAAUGAGAUGUCAGGUCUGGUCAAUGUCAGAUACUGUAGUGCUCCUACUAUACUUCUGUACCUUGUAGCAUCUCCAGAUGCAAGAACUUCUCCUUGAUGCAAGGAUAAUUUUUCUGAUACUGACAUAGGUGUGCUUACAGGCUUACACUUAUCCAUAUUAACUCAUUUCAGUAAAUCUGUCACAUACUUCUCUUGAGAUAGUAUUAAACCAUUACAUACCUUGGUGGCUUCUAUUCCAAGGAAAUAAUGAAGGUCUCCAAGAUCCUUCAGAGCAAACUCUUUGUUCAGGUCUUGUAACAAAGCUGCAGUAGCACUUUGCAUAGAACUAGCAACAAAUAUGUCAUCAACAUAAACCAAGACAAACAUACUCACUACACCCUUAUUAUAGAAAAAUAGAGAUGUAUCAGCCUUGGAUGCUUGAAAUCCUAGUUCUUGCAAUUUUGUGCUCAACCUAGAGUACCAUACUCUAGGGGCUUGUUUAAGACCAUACAAAGCCUUAUCUAAUUUGCAAACAUGAUUAGGAAGAGAAGACACCUCGUACCCUAGAGGUUGUCUCAUAUAAACCUCCUCCUCUAGGAUGCCAUGCAGAAAAGCAUUGCUUACAUCAAGCUGACGAAGGCUCCAUCCUCUAGAUACAGCAAUAGACAGAAUAACUCUAAUUGUAGCAGCUUUAACAACAGGACUGAAUGUAUCUUCAUAGUCUAUGCCAUAUCUUUGUUUAAAGCCCUUAGCAACUAGUCUAGCUUUAUACCUGUCUAGACUUCCAUCAGCUUUUCUUUUAAUCUUGUAUACCCAUUUACAAUCUAUAACAUUUCUAUCUGAUUUUGCUGGAACAAGGUGCCAAGUUUUAUUCUUCAUUAAGGCUGUGUAUUCAGAGUCCAUAGCAUGUUUCCAGUUCUUAUCAUUUAAAGCCUCAUGAAGGUUUUGUGGUUCACCAGAUGAAGUAAAACAUGAGUAUUUAACUGUUCCAUCAGUAUAUACCUUUUCCUUGCGGAUACCACUUUGUAACCUUGUUCUGGGCUUUGCUGCGACCAUUGAUUGAUCUUCUGUGGCAUGAGUGGCUGCUUCUCCUCCAAAGUGCAUGUCCUGCAUCACAGAGGAUCUCAAUUCAUGCAAUUGAUUACCUGCCAAUGUCAGAUAUCUGUCUCCAUGUGUGGAUUGACUACCAGUGCUAUGCACCGGAGACCCACUGUUGUGCAGCCGCGUUUCGCCUCCUGGUUGGCACGGCGAUGAUGAGCGGCGAGUGCUGGCGCCGGUGGCGGACGUGUCAUGCGCAGGUUGGUCUGUUGGGUCAGUCUGCUACCCAAUUUUCGAAGCCGAACCCGAGUCUGCUGCUACAUCCACAUUCCCUGACGUACCCAGAUCAUCAUUAGUUGUAUCUGUCGUAUUUCCUCCAUCUAUAUCUGCAUUCUCAUCAGUCUGAUCAGAUGAAACAUUAUAAAAAUCAAGCAUAUGGUUGUUAUGUUCUCCCCCUUGAUGAGAAGUGUGAGAUAAAAGAUGUGAGGGUAGAAGGGCAAUUUCACUGCGUAGUCUUGAACCCGCAUUGGAGUGAAAUUUAGAUAAAGGAAAAACAUUUUCAUCAAAGACGACAUCUCUACAAAUAUAGAUUCUUCCCGUGGCUAUGUCAAGGCACUUAUAUCCAUUGUGGGUGUGGCUUGGGCCAAGAAAAACACAUUGCAUGGAGCGGAAUUGCAAUUUAUGAGCAUUAUAAGGGCGAAGAUUUGGCCAACAAGCACAACCAAAAAUACGGAAAGAAGAAUAGUCAAGUUUAUGGUUAAAUAGGCAUUCUAGAGGUGUGUCAUAUUGAAGAAUUCUGGAGGGAAUGCGAUUAAUAAUAUGAGUGGCAGCAAGAAAGGCUUCAUCCCAAUAUUUAAGUGGCAUAGAUGCAUAUGCAAGAAGAGCUAGACCAACUUCAACUAUGAGUCGAUGCUUCCUUUCAGCUGAACCAUUUUGUUGGUGAGUGUGAGGACAUGACACAUGAUGAGAGAUUCCGAUUUUUUCAAAGAAGGAGUUUAAUUUUUGAUAUUCUCCUCCCCAAUCGGUUUGCAUAGCUAUAAUUUUGCGAUCAAAAAGCCGCUCAACAAGCUGCUGAAAGUCAUGAAACUUUUCAAAGACAUCAGAUUUAUGCUUGAGGAAAUAUAUCCAAGAAAACUUGCGAUAGCUAUCGAUGAAGCUAACAUAAAAUUUCUUUCCUCCAAAAGAGGUGGAGGCCGGCCCCCAUACAUCUGAAUAAAUAAGUUCUAGAGGUUUAUUGGACACACUCAUAGAAUUGGAAUACGGUAAUUGAUGGCUCUUGGCCUUUUGACAAGCAUCACACACUGACUCUUUAUUAGAUUCUCUAAGACACGGUAACUUAUUUGAACUAAUGACCUUCAUAACAAUGGGAAUGGAAGGAUGCCCGAGCCGACUGUGCCACCGCUCAAGCGAUGGAGCAACUGCAAAGGCCUGCUUGGUGGAUGAUGUGGACGGAAGCGGAUAGAGACCAUGGCGGCGUGGCCCCUUAAGAACCGUGCUCCUCGUGGUUCGAUCCUUAAUCAAAAAAUACUUAGAGUGAAUUUCCACAAAAACAGAGUUAUCAGAGGCAAGUUUAGUUGCUGAUAUAAGAUUUUUAGCGGCCUGUGGCACAUGAAGAACAUUAUUAAGAUGUAAAGGACGAGUUGGGGUAUGAACUAUAGCAUGACCAAUGUGCUUGAUUUUCAUACCUGCACCGCUAGCGGUGUGAAUCUGAUCAUGUCCCUUGUACACCUCCCGCGUGUUGAGUUUCUCCAGUUGACUAGUGAUGUGAUCGGUAGCACCCGUAUCAACAUACCAGUUCGAGUCAGCGCCAUGGCUGUAUGUAGCUGCGGCGACGAGUUUGUCAUCUGGGACGUAGUCUUCGUCAUAGCGAUGCCAGCAAUUUGCAGCAACGUGGCCACGUUUGUAGCACACAUGGCAUAAGGGGCGGCCGUCGUUGCCGCGCUGUUGACUUGAGCCACGCCCACGGCCGGAGCCACGGCCGCGGUUGCUGUUGGUGUUCCGGCCUCUUCCUGCGCCACCACACGAGGAGAAGCCCCCACGGUUUCUGCUGGCUGCAUUCGUCCAGUCCAUUGAGGAUAUAUGCGAUCAGUUCAUCGCUAUCCAUGGACUUGCCUACUGUUGCUAUCUCAUCUGCAAACAAUUUCAUUUUACCAACAUAAUCAGAAACUGAAAGAUUACCCUUCUUCAUAGUGAUGAGGGCCAGCCGCACGUUCAUGGUUUGAGCAUGCGUUUUUGCUGUGAACAUCCGUUGGAUCGUCUUCCAGGCUUCGGCCGCCGUUGCGGCAGUAGCGACUUGCGCUAGCGUUUCCCUCGUCAUGGAGGAAAACAGGAACCCGAGGAACUGCUGAUCCGCGGCAAUCCAUUCGUCAUGCGCUGGAUUGGAGAAUUUGACCUCCUUUCCUUCCACCGUCUUGCUGAGUUGUGCGGCAGGUACUGCCGUUUCGCCGGUGAUGUGACCCUCCAGGCGUGCGCCACGAAUCACCGUGAGAACCUGCGCUCUCCAGAGCGCAUGAUUCUGCUUGCUCAAUUUCUCGGAGACUUGAACCCCGAAUAGCGGAUUGGAAACUGCGGUAGAGGAGGAGCUGGCCAUCUAGAUUGAAUUGGUUUUCUCUCGCUCUGAUACCAUGUAAAACAGCGAAAGUGAGAUGGGUUGAACGUCGCCCUUUGUUUCGGUGCGACGGCUGCGUGUUAUAUUGGCGUACCAAUCGGCGCUGAGAUUACAGGAUUAUAUAGCCUCUAAUCUAGCCCAGAUUUGAUCUAAAGGAUAUACAUCUUAUCUAAACUAACAAUCUAAAUCUCAGCUAGAUCAGUUAGGCAAGAUAUACAUUAAUACAUGCAUGUUGUUUAACAGAACAAUGUUUUUUAUGACAUUCUGCUCCCUACUCGCUCCGGCCCCUCCACCAGCCUGCUGGCUGCUGCUGCUCGCUCCCGUGGCACCGCCAGCCUGCUACACUGCUCCUCUUGCAGUCCCGCUAGCGUGCUCUCGCGGCAUCGCGCCGCCGUCAGCCUGCUGCUCGCGCAGUCGUGUCGUCGCGUGCUCCGACGCUCCGCGGCUUGGCUGCCGGCUGCCGCAGUGCCGCUCGCAGCCUUGCGCCAAUGCGCCAUCGCUCGCUGGCACUGUGCGCCGCGGUGCUGCUAGCCAGCCCGCGCUCGUGCGGUAGCGCCGUCACACAUUCCGUGCACGGCGCCGUUAACUUGUCGGCGCCGCUCGCUGCCUGCCUGCCUAAGCUACCUCGAUUAGUUGGAUUUGGAAGCUAGGGUUUGCCAUUGGGAAUGGGGAUUGGGGGUUGGGCGGAGCAUAGAGAGCUAGAUGUGGGUCUAUGUGAGUGAGUUCAAAGCCCAAUAGGCAAUAGGCAAUUUUUAUGCCCUUGGCUGCCUGGCACAAUUAUGCGGAUCGUUGGCCCAAUACGCGGUUUCUCCAACCUCUAGCCAUCCGGAGACCUUCAGCACCCUACCUUAUCAUCCAUGGUGAAAAAAUUGAAGGGGGAACUCAGGGGGGUAUCCAUGUGUACGGUGGGUAUAGUCCCCCCUGCAUCCAGGUUGAAUCCGCCUCUGCCAAGUGCCAACGCGGCUCGAUUGGCUCCUCCGUCUACUUCAUCUGCCGCUGCCGCCACCGCCUCCCCUCAUCUGCCGCUGCCACCGCCCCUAGUAGCACCCUGGACUCGUUCUUUUCGUGUGACCUUCUCCACCGAUAAUGGAUUAUUGGUUUGGUUGUUUCGUUGUUUCGUGUCAUCAAUUUGAGGUCUAGUUGGAUGGGUGGAUUGGUUGGUUGAUUAGUUUUCAAGAGGGAAUGAGGUCUUGGAAGCCAUGGUGCCAGCCGAGAAAAGAAGCGUCGCCACUGUAUCACACUACUGCAGGACAGGGUUAUAGUAACACGUCUUUGUGCUACUAUAUCUCCAGAAACGUGUUACUGAGGAUUCUAGUAACACAACUGAUAUGUGUUCUUGUUGGCCGUGUUACUACACAUGGAUCCUUGUAGCACAUAUAAGUGUUCCAAUUGAUAAGAAUAGGUGUUACAAGUUUUUAGCUAGGAACACCUUUGUUUAUCUCCUGUAACACAACGCCCUGUGUUGCUACAUAGUCGAGUAAAACAAAAUUUUGGCACUAGUAACACAAGUACAAAUACAAGUUCUCAAGAAAGUAGUAAAACCAUUUUUAAUUGUAGCAGCACAUUAAUAGCAUGAUUAGCAAUAUAGUUUAAGAAAUCAUUGCUUGUUGCUGCUAUAUAUUAAAAUAAUUAUUAGAAAUCUUUAUUAUGCACCAUACGUUUGUUGACUUAUUGCUUACAUUGAAGUAUACUGUUAUAUACAUCUACAGGGAACAUGCACAAUACAAAAACCAAAUUCUAGUGCUCAAAUCAAAAUAUAUAACUAUUUCUAUAUUCUUCAUGCAUCUUUGCAUGCCGCUUGUCCCAUGGUGACUUGAUGAGGCAAUCAGCUGAACAACCAUUUCUUAUUGAGUUCAACUUGUCAUCUACUUUUAAGUGUGCACACACACCUCGCAUGCUAUGCAAGUACCUGUAGUUGAGAAACACGAUAUUUAGCUAUUAGCCAUUAGAAAUUAAUGUGCAUUAUAAAUAUUAAGCAGAUAAAUGAACAAAAGCAUUCAGUGCACAUCCUGUUGAAUCAAAUGAUAAUAUCUAAGGCAUGUAUAGCUACAGUUUUAAACAUUGUUUUGGUUAAAAUAUCACGGAUGCUCUGUUUCUCACAAAAUCUCAAGAGUAUAGUCUAGAAAACAAUCAAGAAGCCUGAUUGAACAAAGAAAAGAAAAGCUUAAAAAUAAAUUCUAGUGGUCUCAGCAACAAGACCAUUGAUUUCCUUGGAAUGAGAAUUAGGGGUUUAUUUUUAUCAACAUUGACUUCAUGAAGUAGAGAUUUAAGAUCAUAGCAGAGUAUUUCUAAUUUGUAAUGCAAAGCAUUGAACUAGUUACUAGUUAUAUGAUGUACACAAAAUUGAAUUAAAACUAUUUCAUGAUUAGAGUAUACAGGCCGUAACUAUACCUUGAUGCAUGUUUUCCAUAUAUCUGUAUAUAAUUUGCAUUACAAACAUAAAUGUUUACUUUAUCUGAACCUCUGAAUUAGAACCUGAAGAAAUAACAGCGCUCUGAAAAAAAAAAUACAACCAUUAGUCAAGAAAAUAAAUGGAACCGAAGAAAGUACUACAAAACCAGAUAUCACUUAAGAAAACACAAGCACUUGCCAAUUCUGUUUGUACCAUCAUUGUGGUCAAUCACUAUCAUUUCAUAAAAGCAAGUUCCAUAAAAGAUUGGUUCAUUUCCUCAGUUAAAAAAUCUGAUACAUUUCAGCAUAUUCCAAUUUAGCCAAAAAAGUAAUAGCCAAAUUCAGAAGUUAAUAUCACACUCAACAUCUAGAAGUCUCAGUUUUUCCAGCAAUAUAAACAACUCCAGAGGGCAAGUACUCUAGAUAUUCUCUAGAUAUUCUCUUGUAAGCAUAUAUUUGUCAUACAGAGUAUAGAUAUUGCUGCUUUACCAAAUCACAGCUUCCUUCUAUGACAAUGAAGAUUAGAAACAGCAGAGCCA
rnacentral:lncRNA from 1 species